AAAAACCCAUCCACUGCCCGAUCCCAAUCUAUCAACCCACUUCCAGUUUACAUCCAGCAAGGCAGCUCUACUAUAGUCUUUGCAGAACAGGUGUGAAAGCAAAAGCUUCUGUUAUUCAGCAAUGGGAAAGGAGAUGAGGCAUUUGAGUUCAUGGGUUGAAGUUGCACCUCCUCUUCUCAUUUCUCCCCUCAGGAACAGAACAUCUAAUUCUCCAGUGUUGGAGACCAUCACCGAAGAUGAAGCUGAGGACUCCAAUGACGACUAGCAUUCCUCACCCAUCCAUAUUUAGGACUGAAAUCCCCCCUCCCCCCUUUUUGCUAUAAAUUGUAAUCUUGGGAAGUUAAUGGAAUGUUCCAGUUUUGUUACAGUUCAAUGUUUUUUUUUUUUUCUCUUAAUUGAUUGUCACUUAGCAGGAUUGUUCAUCAAAGGAAAAAUGUAUUUUGCCUACACAAAAAAGAUGAUCCUCAUACUUGCAUUAAAAUAUUGUUCCUUUUAAAACUAUACUUUGCUACCAUUCUUAUGGUGGGGAAAAAUUAAGUCCACCUUGGGCAAAAGGUGGUUGAUUAAAAUUAAAAGUCAAGAACAAGGAAGGCUUGAGAUUAUGAAUUUGACUACUAAAGUAGGAAACUAUACGAAAUUACUUUUCAAUGCUUAAAAUUUGAACUUAGCAAAAAGAAAAAGUGUUUUAAAUUUUAGACGAUUUGCUGAAGGAGUUUUAAUUCAGGUGGUAUGUGUAUUAUCUGAGAUAAAAUAAUAAAACGAGUUGCAUAAAAAUAUAUUGAAAAAUGAGUUUAUUUUUCUUUUUAUAGUAAAUAGAAAAUACACGCUUAAAAACUAGGAAUCUAUGGGAUUGAGGUCUCUUCACGCAGUGAAUUAUUGACGUCCCUCUAGCAAUCUCGUCGUAAUAUAUUGCGGUCGAUAUGUGAGAAUGUAUUACGAUGUUAUUUUCUUAGUCUUUUAAAAUAUAUCGGAAUUUUAUUUUCUAAUUCUUAAUGUAUCAUUUAUGUAUUAAUCGGACUUCUAUAAUAUUACUAAUUGUUGUGAAAUUAUUUUAAAUUAUAUCUAUUAAUAUUGUAUUAUCACAAUUAACCUUUAUAUGAAUUUCUAAAUAUACUUUAACCAUAAAAAGUAAUCUUUUUUAUAGUUGGAUAAUAAAUGAGAUUCAGAAUUUGUAUUAAAAUUAAUAAAAGAUUUACACCAAUUACCAAAAUAAUUACUAGGCAGUCAUUCAAAUCAUUAUAUGUAAAAUGAUAAAAAAAAUUAUUAUUAACAAAAAUUAGAAAAAUAUACAUUAAAAAAAUCGGCAAUGCAAUUUGGAAAAUAUUGUGGCCGUAUUGUGCUGUAAACUGAGUGCAAGUGAUGAAAAACAGUAGAGGACAACCGACCAAUCAUCAAAGCGGAGACGGCAUCAUAACUUAUGUAUCGACACGUGGGUAAAGGAAAGCCUUAAGUGUUAUUAUAUCUCUUUCUAUUUCAAGGAGUUUGGUCCAGGCGAUGUGAUUAGAGAGCAUUAUUUUAUGAUUGUACAACGUGGCUAGACAAGAGUGGUUGAAAGGAUCAACGGCGGUGCUUGGUGGGUCCGGCCUUGAAAUGGACGGUUGUAGUGCCUACCGCAUUUUGAGUGUUUAGUCGGUACGCCUUUUUGGAUCACGCCCGACACACCAUUUCCAUCUCUCCAUUACAUUAAUGACACGCGGCGAAUUCUUACCCACUUAUCAUUUAUUUUUUUAAUUAAGUAAAUAUAAAAGAAAAAAGUAAAAACCAAAAAUACUUAAAUUAUAUUAUAGUUAGCUAUAAUACUAACCUAUAUUUGUUACAAGUUAAAGAGUUUUAUUAGAUAAGAAUGUAUAUUCCAACAUAAACAAUAAUAGUUGCCGUGUAUAAAUAAAUGCAUAAUUAAUGAAGCACAUUAAAAAUACCUAGUGGGCUUGUCCCAAAGUAGUCCAGCAGCAAAGAGCCACCCUUGGUAGGGUCUGGUUUUCUGAAAUGGGGCGGCAAAACAACUACGUUAAAUUGACACCCACUCGACCACCGCACCCAUAUAUACCCUUAUUCCAAGGAUUAUCUUCAAAAACAAAGGCUGUAAUCCAAGCUUCUAUUCAGUUUUGUAAGAGCUAUGGCUAAGGACAUUGAGGUUGGUGGUGAGUUCCAGGCCAAGGACUACCAUGAUCCUCCACCCGCUCCAUUGGUCGACGCUCAGGAGUUAGCCAAGUGGUCUUUUUACAGGGCUGUCAUUGCUGAGUUCAUUGCCACUCUCCUCUUUCUCUACAUCACUGUCUUGACUGUGAUCGGUUACAAGACCCAGACCGACCCUGCUAAGGGCGGUGAAGAUUGUGGCGGCGUUGGCAUUCUCGGCAUUGCUUGGGCUUUUGGUGGCAUGAUCUUUAUCCUUGUUUACUGCACUGCCGGUAUCUCUGGUAAGUACGCAAAAUGGGCUAAUAACGGGAUACGAUUUAGCAAAUGACUAACAACUUAGCUCAAUAUUGCAGGGGGACACAUCAACCCAGCAGUGACCUUUGGACUUUUCUUGGCUAGGAAGGUGUCGUUGGUUCGAGCCAUAUUUUACAUGGGUGCUCAGUGUUUGGGAGCCAUAUGUGGGUGUGGGCUGGUCAAGGCCUUCCAAAACUCGUACUACAACCAGUAUGGAGGAGGAGCCAACAGCCUGGCUGAAGGAUACAGCACUGGAACUGGUUUGGCGGCUGAAAUCAUCGGCACCUUUGUCCUUGUCUACACUGUUUUCUCUGCAACUGAUCCCAAGAGGAAUGCAAGAGACUCCCAUAUCCCUGUAUGUCUCUAACUUUAACCAUAUCACAAACGUAAAUUGUAUUCUAUCAGUUAUGAAUUGUUGUGUAUUGUUGUUUAAGGUCUUGGCACCACUUCCCAUUGGGUUUGCUGUGUUCAUGGUUCACUUAGCCACUAUUCCCAUCACCGGAACCGGUAUCAACCCGGCUCGUAGUUUGGGGGCUGCUGUUAUCUUCAACCAGGACAAGAUAUGGGAUGACCAUGUAUGAACCUUUUGAGUUAUACAACUUUUUUAUUUUUGGCCCUUGUCUUAUGACACCUUAUAAAUUUUUUGUUGUUUAUUUGAAAUGGAUGCAGUGGAUAUUCUGGGUAGGACCUUUUAUUGGAGCUGCCAUUGCCGCAAUCUAUCACCAGUUUAUAUUGAGGGCAUCGGGUGCUAAAGCUCUGGGAUCCUUCAGGAGCAGCUCUGCCAUGUAAAAUAUGUUGAAGCAAGAAUUGUGCAGCCAUGAGUUCAAAGUAAAGGCUGGCAUGCUUGGAUGAAUGAAAUGAAGUUUUCUUCAGACCAUUGAAUUUGUAAAGAAUAAUCAAAGUGUAAUGCUUCUUCUCUAUGCAUGUGGCACUUAUUUUUAAUGUGCCUCAAACUUUGCUUUAUUUAAAUGGAGUUCAGUUCCUUUUCCUUUUUCUUUAAAAAAAAUAUGGAAAAUAGAUUCGAGUUGUUUUAAAAUUUAUGUUCAACAUCUAAUCUCUUAAUAGGUUUAGAAAACGUAAAGGACUAAUCAUCAAAUCCACUCUCAUAGAUACCUGAUACCUAAAGAAUUUUAUAUGAUAAGAUAAAUCUAAGUGAUUUUAAACGCAUGAUAAGGAAACAAAAUUAUAAUAUUUUGCAAAACAACCUAAAGGAAUUAAUGGUUAAGAGUUCGGUUAAAUAGGCAAUAUAUGCUUCUUCUUCUUUUUUUAAUUGGCCAAAUAAACCUUUUUUUAAGAUUUAGGGAAAUAAAUCGAUUUUAGUGAGAGUGUGUGAAAACGCGUCCAACUGGACAUAUUUUCUGCACAGGUGGUAGGAAAGCAUACCCAACUAGAUGUGUUUUUCCUUUAAGUUGUAUUUUUGACUUUUUUUUUAAUAUAAUUAGUUACUUUGGUCAAAUAAUUAAAUGUUAGUAGUUUUAUCAUUGAGUCUUGGGUUUGAUUCCUCUUACUCACAUUUGUGUUUUUUAUUUGAUGUUGUUUUAAGCAUUUUAUUAUUUUUAAUAUAUUAGUUUUAUUGGUUAAAUAGUUAAAUAAUAAUGAUUUUAUCUUUGAGUCUCAGAUUCAAUUCCUCCUCUUCUAAUCAUGUUUGUAAUUUUUAUUUCAUGUUGUUUCAAGUUUUUUUUUAAUUAAUAAAUAUAUUGUUUUCAAACUUUUUAUUUUUAAUUCAUAUUUUUAAUUAAUAACUCUUUUAUUUAUAAAAUCGAAUAAUUAUUAUAAAUAUCAUUAUUUUUAGUAAAUAUAAUUUUUAUAUGUGUAAUAUUUAUUUUUCAAUCCAUAUCAUGAGUGUAGUAAAUUUUAGUAUUAUAUAUUUUUAUAUGUGUAUUUAAAAUAUUUCACAUAUAAAAAUAUUUAAAAUAUCAUACCUACAAUGUAGGUGAAUAAAUAAUGAUAUUUGAAAUAUUUUACAUAAAAAUAAUUAUUAUAUUUGAAAUAAUUAUUUCAUUUUAUAAUAUGAGAAAUCACCAUACCCACAAUAUAUGUGGAGAAAAUAAAUAUUUGACAGAUAAAUAUUAUAAAAAUAUAUAUAAAAAAAUUAGCUGAUAUAUAUUUUUAUUAUAUAUAAAGGAGUUAUUAAUUUCAAAUAUUUUUAACAUAAUGAUAUAUAUAAAAUAUAUAUUUUUAUUAUAUAAUUACAUAUUUAUUAUUUGAUUUUAUGAAUAAAAUAGAUAUUAAUUAAAAAGAUGAAUUAAAAAUAAUAUAUUUAUUAAUUAAAAAAACUUGAAACAACAUAAAAUAAAAAUUACAAAUAUAAAAUCAUUAACCACAAACAAGGGAGCUUAUAUAUUAAAAAUAAUAAAAAGCUUAAAAAAUACGAAUGUGAGUGGAAGAGAAAUCGAAUUUGGGACUCAAGGAUAAAAACCACAAACAUUUAACCAUCAAACAAAAAAACCUAAUUAUAUUAAAGAAGUAAAAAAUGCAACUUAAAGAGAAAGCACAUCCAGCACACACUCUCUCCAAAAUCGACCUAUUUCCCUAAAUUUUCAAAAAAAAAAAGACCUAUUUGGCCAAUUAACAAAAAAAGACAUAUACUAUCUAUUUUGUCAUAUCCCGAAAAUGAGCUUAGAAGAAAUAGGGAUAAAAAAUAGAUUUUAUUUUAUUUUUAAAACAAAGGGUAAGAAAAUUUAGUAUGCCUUAAAAAUUACUUGUGCUAAAAAUAAGAAUGAGUUUGUUGGUUUAGUGGUAAAGUUUUAGUUUACCUAUAGGUCCUAAGUUCAAAACCCCUUGUGUGCUUUCAACCAAAAUAUUUUAUUUUCCUAUUUUUACCCCAAAAAGUGCCAAAUUUACGAAUUAGCCCAGCUAAAAACCAUUUUUUAAAAUUUAGUCAUUGAUUUAAAAUAGUCCUAAUUCUACAUGAAUUCCUAAAACCUAUUUCAAUUAGGGAAAAUUAGUUUUAUAAAUAGCCAAAUUUAAAGAAAACCCUAGGAUUUUUACCUAGUAAAUUUUAAGAAAACACUCCCAAGUUCUUUUUCCAAAUCAAUUUUUCAAGCAAAAAGCAGUCAAAGUUUUCAAACUCAUCCCUCUCCCCCAAGUGGAUCAUUAACCUCCUCUUCCAAAUUAAGGUUUUCGUGACUUCAAACCAGGUGUGGGAUCUAAACUUAAAUCAUUAUGUAUAAUUAAUUGUAGUGUUAGAAAAUAAGUAAUCUAUACUUGAACCCCCAUGUGAACCCCCAUGCAAAACCCCAUGCGAACCCCCUUGUCAACCCCCUACAAACUCUCAUGCGAACACCCUUGCAAACCCCCAUGCGAACCCAUAUAAACGAGCCCCCAAAAUAGGUGAACCCCAUGUGUGUAAACCCAUGUAUACGAACCUGUAUGUGAAACCAUAUGCAAAUCCUCAUAGGAUUAAGUAUGUGAACUCUCAGUAUAUACAUGUAAUAGCCCGUUUUCAAUGAAAUCGGAAUAGUGGCUUCGGGACCACAAAUUUGAGUUAGAAAGAAAAUUUAUUUUAAUAUUAUUGCAUGAUCUACAUUAUGAUAGGCAAGACGUAUGAAAAUUUUAAUAAGAAAAUUUUACCGAUUUUAUGUUUAAUUAGGAGGAAAGGACCAAAUUGCAUAAAGUGCAAAAGUUGAAUUCUAAUAGCUAGAAGGAUUUAAUAGCUAUGGAAUUCAAAAUUUAAGGUCCUUAUAUGAUAAUUAGACCAUUAAGAGAAGUUAGUAGAUAUUUAUGGUGACUGAUCCAUGGAAAUUCAAGAAAAGAAAAGGACUAAAUUGGAAAUUAAAUUAAUUAAAGAUGAAAUAUACUAAUAUCAUCUUAUUUCAUCAUCUUCCCCAAAUUAAAAAUACAUGGAAACCCUAGCUAAGAUAAAAACAUUCAAGCAAGCUAUUUUGGCUUAAUUGGGUAAGUAAUCUUGUCCCGUUUUUAGUAAUUUUAUAUUUUCGAGAUCGGAAUAACCUAAUCUAGCUAUUUUGGGGAUCAAUUUGUAAAGUUAUCAAAGGAUAAAAGUUUUUACAUCAAUUAAUAUGCUUAAAUUUUGAAAUUUAUGGUAGAAAAUGAAAGAUUGUUGAUAGAUAAACAACUUUUGUAAGGUGAAUUUUGAUGAAAUUAUGAUUUAGGGACUAAAUUGUAAAGAUGUAAAAUUCAUAGAAAAUUUCUAAUUUUUAUGAAAUACAUGGGCUGUAAAUGUUAUAUGAAAAUUUUGGUUAGGCUUGGAAUAAGGAUUAAAUUGCAUGAAUUUCAUUUUUCGAGCCUAGGGAUGAAGUUGGAAUUUAACAAAAGUAUAAGGGCCAAAUGGUACUUUUGUCUAAAAUGUGAAUUUGGCUUAAUUGAAUAUGAAUUGUAUUGAAUUGAGUUAAAUUUACUCGUAUAGAUCUGAAUAACUCAAAUACGAAGUUAGAUUGAGGAAAAGAAAAAGUGUCGGAUUAGUAGAUUUUUGUAUACGAACAAAAUGAUGAGGUAAGUUCGUGUAACUAAAUUAUGUAUGUUUACAUGUUUGAUUUGAAUGUUGUAUAUAUGAAUUAUGAAUUUUUUAUGUUAUGUUAUUGAAGACAAUUAUUGAUUCCGCAGAGCCCGAUGUGUGAUAAGUCUCGUAUAAAUAAUGGAAUUCGAUAGAUACUGGAUUUCCCGAAUUGGUUGUAGUCUUGCAUAUGUUGCAGACACACCAUAGCUCUUACGAGCAUCCUGUUAUUAGCCCUCUCAAGCUUCUCGUUAUAUAGUUCUGCGAGCAUCCUAAUCGGUAGUAAUUCUGCAUGUGUUGUGGACUACCGCAGCUCUUUGUGAACGUCUUGUUUGUGAUCGCUUGUGAUCAUGUAUAUGUUACGGACACAAACGCAGCUCUUUGUGAGCAUCCUGAUAUAGCUUGCUUGAACUUCCUAAUAUAUGGCUAUCCGGAGCUCCCGUUACACGGCUCUUAGUGAGCUUCCCGAUAGGUUCUUCGUGAGCUUCCCGAUUAAAUGUUCUUUGUGAACUUCCUAAUUAUAGCUCUUAUGAGCUUCCUAAUAUAGCCCAGGUAAGCUUCUUAUUACAUAGCUCACAUGGGCUUCUCGUUUUAUGGCUCAAAAGAGUGUUUCCUGUUUAAGUGUUCUCAUGAACACUCUAGAAUAUGAAUUGAGGGAUUAUAGAUUAGUGCACUUCAUGUGUACUACCCGAUGUCCAUCGAUAUUUCAUAAAGUUCAAUGGGAAAUACAUGAAACGUUUAUAUGAUGAGCUUAUCUUUAUUACUUGAAAAGUAAUUAGAAAUUCAUAACUAGCUUGCUUGAUUGAGUGUAUGUGAUUAGGCAUUUGGCCAAUUUGCUUGGGAUGUAUGUUAUUUAUAUGCUUACUUAAAAUAAACAUAACUGGUAAGUUAAGUUCCUGUUAUACGAACUUACUAAGCAUUAGAUGCUUACUUGGUUUUCUUUCCUCUGUUUUAUAGUGCUCAGAAGCUCAUAAAGGUUAGAGUUCAGUCAGAGCAUCAUCACACUAUCCUCCAGCUCGUUUUGGUAUAAAUAGAAAACUUAUUUUGGUAUAAUGGCAUGUAUAGGUUAAUGUUGACAAAUGAGGGUAUGUAAAUGUUUUGGUUGUAUUUAGCCAUUAGAAUGGCUAGUGAUAGUAUUUUUAAUGUAUAUAUGCAUGAGGUUAUAUUAUGUUUGGUAUGUGAGUAUGCUUGGAUUAGUAUUUUAGGUAUAGUCAUGUUUAGGUAAGUAUAUGAUUAAAAGGUAAGAUAAAUACUUGAAGGUAUGAACGAACAUGCCAUGCAUAAAACUUAAUUAUUUGUUUGAUUUAUAUGCCUUGAAUUGGUUGGUGAAUAUGUUGAAAUUUCAAUGUAGGUGUAAGACAAGUUGGGUGAGAAAUAAGGUUUAGAAAUGACCUUAUUUUGUCCACACGAGCGUGUUUUAGCCGUGUGUGACACACAACCAUGCACACGAGCGUGUGGUUUGGCCAUGUAUCCCCUGCACCUAAUUUUUGAAAAUUUAAUUUACCACACAACCUAGCACACGGGCAUGUGGCUAGCCAUAUGACACAAGUCAGAGAGUUAAACGGGUAAAGACACGAGCUGGGACACGGUCGUGUGCCUCACAUCGAAUGCCCACACGGCCUAGUACACAGGCAUGUCACUUGGCCGUGUGAGCCACACGGCCUACCCACACGGGGUGUGUCCCCUGUAUUUAGGAAAAUUUUUGAACUUUCGUGAAAAUUCUAUGAGUUCUCGAUUUAGUCCCAACUUGUUUCUCAGUCAUAAAUUGGGUCUCGAGGGUCCAUUUAAGGGACAAUAUGAUAAAAAAAUGUUUGAUUUUGGAUAUGAAUAGUAAAUGAUACAAUUUAAUUAUAUUUGAUCUGUAAACUCUGGUAAUACUAUGUAACCCUAUUCUGGUGACAGAUAUGGGUUAGGGGUGUUACAAUACAUAUAUAACAUGCAAACUUUAGGUAUUAUGUGAGCUAUCUAUAUCAUGCGAACCUUAGGUAAUAUGCAAACCUUGUAUUUAUGUGAACACUAGGAGAAAUAUACAUGCGAACUUAUCUGUUAAUUAUAUGAAAAUUUACAUGUGUACUAUGUGAACCCUCUAUUUGUUAGCAAGCGAACCCUAGGUGAUUAUUUAUGUGAACUGUACAUAGCAUGCUACCCCCUUUUAUAUGCAAACCCUACCUGCGAACAUGUAUGUAUGUGUUAAGAUAAACUAGGCCUAUUAAUUCACAUGUAGAUAUUGAGUAUGUGACACUGUUUUUAAACUCGCACAAAUUAUAUGUGUAUGUGAAAUUGAUGAGAAUAAAUGCAUGAAUACAUGCCAUUAAAUGUUAGUAUAUGAUAAUAAAUUUGCUUGUUAAACAUAGUAUCAAACGUUGAUAAUGAGUAUGAUAUGAUGAGUAUAUGUGCAUAAUUUCAAAAAAUUGGAUAUGGAGGACGGAGGAGUUCCAUAGGAGACAGUGGCAAUUUAAGUCCACACCGAAACUUAGUAUUGCACGAAAUAGAAGGCAAUGUCAUUAGAACUGGAUAAGCAGGGAUGGUAGGUUAAUAAACCACUAAAUCAGGACGACCGGGAUGAUAGCUAUUGUAGUAAAAAGCCAUCAAAAUCGAGCAACCGAGAUGAUAAGUUAUUGUAGUAAAAGUCAUCAUCAUAGAUGACAAAUGAAUGGCCAUCGUCACUGGAAACACAAAUCCGGGAUGGUCAGUUUUUAUAUAUGUGAAGGUGUGUUGAGCAAUGCUCGAAGGCGAUUAGGAUGCAUGGGAGGGGAAAUUUGUACUUGCAUUACAUUAUAAAUAUAUUCUGUUUAAACUGUUAUUACGCUAUAAAUUAAAUACAUUAUUGUUUGAAUGAUUAUAUAUAAUGAUUUAAGAUUAGUCUCACACUAAGCAGUUAUAAGCUUAUUCCCCUUUUCUUUAUCUCUCAAGUAGCACAUAAAACUAGGACUCGGAAUGGCAUCGGAGGAACCUCGGACUAGCAACUCAUUUUUCGUUAUUAUUAUUUCAAAGCUAUCUUUACUCGUUUUGUUUUCAGGAUUGUAAUUAUCAAUUAUUUCUCGCUUUUAUAUCUAGGGUAAAGUUGUUUAGCUUAUUUAUUUUAAGGCAUGACACUUAGCUAAUACUCUGAUAUUUGCAUGCUUUUCGAUUUAGAAAACCAUUACUUUAAAUGUUUCAUGUUGCUUUACAAAAUACUUAAAGUUUUGAUAAGUCAUUUGUUAAAAAAUUUACCUCGUUUCCAAAGUCUUCACAUUAAUAAUAUUUUAACUAAAUUGUUAAGUAAAGUCGGUUUAAAUUAAUGAAUGUUUUACCUAAAAACAAAGAGCGAUUUUUCAUAACAAAUCAAUGCAAGUAAAAGAGAGGCUUUACAAGAUCACUUCGGUGAUCGAAUAACACCUUCAACUUAGCUAAAACUCUUAAACCAGGUCGGGGGGUGUUACAUAUUUAACCUAAGAGUUCUCUACUAACAUUUGAGGUCCAAGUUCAAGUCCACGCAAUGACAUUUUCUUCCCUCAAUUUUGUAAUUUUUCAAAAAAUUUAUAUAUAAUAUUUUUCCAAUGAAAUUUGAAGAAAUUAUAUAAAUUCAAAAAAUUAAAAUUAAAUAAUAAAAAUUACAUAAUAUUAAAAAUAUUAUAAAAUAAAAAAUAUUACCAGUUAAAAUAAAUAUUUCAGACUAUUCUUCUGAAAUUAAAAUAUUCGUUGAAAAUAAUUAUUGAAGAAAAAUAUAUAUUGAUUUUGAUGUUUUGACUUUUUUUUUAAGAACUUAAAAUAGUUUCUUCUUAGAUAUAAAAAAAAAUUCAUAAAUAAUUAUUUUUAUGAAUGAUUUUUCUUUUAUAUUUGUUUGAAAUACUAUUUUAGUUAAAUAUUUAAUAAAGAAUAAAAUAUCUUGAUUAUUUUUGUUAAAAUUAUUAUAAUUUAAAUGUGAUAUGACAUUUGUCAAAAAUAUCUUUUAUACAAUUUUUUGUACAUUUUUUUAACAUUUUGAAAAAAAUUAUAUUAUUAUUUAAGAAAAUAUUUAAUACUUAUUUUUCUAAUAUUUUUAUUUUUAAAUUGUGUAUCUAAAAAAAGUUUAAUGCCAAUGUUGGCUUGCUAGUUGUUUGAGGAUUCAUAUCACACCUCCUAAGAAAAUAAUUAAAAUAAAUUUAUUUAUACUAUUAUUUAAGUUUUUUACUGAGUUAGUGUCACAAGUCAACCGGAACUUACUCUGUUAAAUAAAUUAUGAAAAUGUCUUUUUAUUUUUAACGAAAACUAAUAAAAAUAUGCAUAUUGUGAAAUUUGAACCCUCGCCAAUUAGAUUAGUAAAACCUUAAUGCACAUUUGUGCUCCAAAUAUGUGGUUUUCACACACAUGUACAUGUGAUAGGAUUUCUAGUAUAUUUAAAGAAAGUUAAUAUUUAUGCUAUUUAUAAUGCACUUUACUGAGUUAGUGUGACCCUUAACGGGGUUGUCAACUCAAUUAUAAAAUAUCUCUUUUUUAAAUUGUAAUUAAUAUUAUUAUGAUAUCACUUUUGUCUUUUCAUAGUUUUAUAUCAGCCUUGUUUGGUAAUUAACUGAUAACUGAAUGCAAUGGCUGGUUUAACCAACAGAUUCUAUUAACUGUUUAUUUAAAAAUAUUUGGUAAAACUUAGCUGAUAGCUGAAAGGUGAUAUGUGUAAAAUGACAAAUAAGGGCAUGACACAUUGUGUUGUUAAAUAUUUAUUUAUUUAUAAUACUUUAGUAUUUAUUGGGUGAAAAUAUUGAAAUAAAAUACUAUUACCAAUAAUUUUAGAUUUAACAAAUACAACAACAUUCGAAAAAAAUUAUGAUGUCAACUUUUGGUAUCAUUGAAGACAACGAUGAUUGCCCAGUAGAUGGUCGUAAUACUAAAAAAUUUUGGUUUAAGGAUAAAGGAAUCGAUAGUGUAGAAAUGUUAGUAGACUCGAUUUCAACCUCUACUUUGUCAUGGAAAGAUAUGCUUCUAGGAAACUCAGUCGAAUCCUCGAAGGAAACAGGGAAAGACGAUGGGGAAAUUUUUGACUUUGUAGGAGACUUCACUAGGUUAUCAAUAAAUGGAAUUCUCGCGAUUGCUUUCUUAGAUUAGGUUCAAAACUACCUUUGAAGGACAUGGAAACCAAGGUUGUGGUUAAAUUUUUGGAGCGAAGCAUUGGUUAUUCUACUCUUCAAAAUAGAAGUUCGACUCUAUAGCGGCCAUCAAAACCUUUCAACUUAUUGAUGUGGAGAAUGUGUAUUUUUUUUUUGUAAAAUUUCAGAGCAAAGAAGACUUUGAAAAAGUACUUACCGAGGAACCUUGGAUUGUUUUUGGCCAAUAUCAUACGGUCUACCUGUGGACACUAGAUUCCAACCUGCUCCAGCCUUUCCCGAUGGUUAUUAUGGCAUGGAUUGGCAUGGAUUCGACUCCUAGGCCUUCCCAGUUAUCUGUUUAAUAAAAAGGUUCUUGAAUUGACGGAUCGAUAGGGAAAGUCAUAAAACUUGAUUUCAAUACUGACAAUAGGUUGAAGGGACAGUUCGCCCGAAUGGCAAUCUUCGUAAAUCUAGAUAAAUCUUUAAUCUCUCAGAUUAUGAUGAAAGGUAAAUUAUAGAGAUUUAAGUAUGAAUCCUUACCGUCUAUUUGUUUCUCAUGCGAGUGAUACAGUCAUGUUAAGGAGCUACGCUUAUUUUCGUGUGGUGUAAUUUGUCCUAAUUCGGUGUACCAAAUUAAAUUAGUUUUCAUACUUGAGGAGCUUGAAUACAAGCAAUUCUAUUGUGUUUUAGUUAGUUUUUCUAUUUUAGCUUUAAUUUAAUAAAAAGUGUAAAUCGAGUCAUUUUAUGACCUUAGGGGCCGAAUGAGGCCUAAGGGUGAGCUAACGUAUUUAGUGAGUGUGCAGGACACUAUUAAAGGCAUAAGAGCUCAAGCUUGGUCUUCGUGUUGCAACAAGAAGGUCCAAUGUCGCAACAUAGGGCGCAGAAUACAAGAAUACCAAUACUGACUUUGGUGUCGCAACACACCCCUGAAGCUGAACCUGAGCCCAGGCAAACUUCCUUCAAUGUCGCGACACAGGAACUGGGUGUCGCGACAUCGACCCUGUACAAGAAAAAUUAUGAGCGAGCGGUGUUUUGGUCCGCACAAUGAAAACUAACCCAAAAAUGUCAACCAACCUAGGGCUAAGGAUGACUACCAACCCUAACUCUAUAAAUAGACUCAUUUAACACUUGUUUAGGGACAACUUUCAUAUUUUAGAAUUUUCUCUAUAAUUAGUUUUUAGUUUUUCUUUUGUUUUUGGCUUUAGAUUUAUUUUCAUUUGUGUUCUUUGAAGAAUCUUAUUUGUAGAUUCAACCAAACUCUUGUGGAUUCUACGCUUCAUCAAUCAAUACAAACUCAUGAUUCUUCUUAAACUAUAUUCUUGAUCUGCUAUUAAUGUUUAUUUAUUUUAUCAAGUAUAUGUUGUUUAUAGAUUCCAUGAGGAACUAAUCCUCUUAUGGGGGGUUAGUGAGUGGAAGUGGGAUUAGCUAAUUGUUAUAUAGGGUUUUCUUAGCAAAUCAGUUGUUUGGGGAGAGAAAGAACUUAAACCUUAUGUCUGACAACCCUAGGAAGUCAUUUAGGUGGGAAUUAACCCAAAAUUGGUAUGACUUAUCCGUGAACACCUUAGACCCGAACCGAUUUGGACUAUGAGGUUGAGAGAUUAGUAGUUAUUGCCGACUCGUUAGUUUAGUGGAAUUAAAUAUAUUUCCUCAUAGAUUCUUUUACGAUAAAGUUGUUAUACUUUAACAAAAUUAGAAUUGGGUUGAGAAAAUUAUUUAAUUGAGAAAUUAAUUAAUUUAAUUUAAUUAAUUAAAUUAAUUGAAUAAAUAUUUUUUUUGGCAGAUAGAAAAUAAAUAUUGGGUUGAUUAAAUUAUAAAGUAUUGGGUCAAAAGUUCAAAAAGUACAUAUAAUUGAACUCAAUACAUAAAAGACCUAACUUAGUCAUUGUGUGAACACAAUGUGCGGCAACCCUAGUAAUAUUAUCAAGGGCGUGCCACCCCCUCCCUACUCUAGUUAGAGUGGGAGUGUAUUUUCUAUUUAAAUAGUAUUAUUUAUCAAGGGCUUGUUCAACCAAGAUUCUUAUAUCUCUCCUUAUAAAUAGAGAGCACCAGUUGACCUAAAAGGACACUUCAUACAUUAUUAGAGUUAUCGUUAUUCUACCUAAAAGUAAUAAGAAUUUAUUUACUUAGAAUAAAUUUUAUUUUAUAGGAAUUAUGGUCUUUAUCAGUUUUUAUAGAGAUAAUUUGAUUUCUUAUUGAAAGUAAGUAGAUCAUUUUCUUUUUUGUGAUUUGGUUUGUGUUACUUGAACCCACAUUCGACGCAAUUUGUGGUAUGAUGAUAGUGGAGAAUACUGUUUAGUUGAAAGCUAAGAUCAACUAAAUUCAUUUCGCACAAAGCACAAGUAUUAUUCUGAUUUAGGAUUUAUUACUAUAAAUAUGACAAGAGGACUUGGCUUUAAAAUUUUUAAAAACUUUUACUAUAGUUGUAAAACUAUUUUGUUAACCAAUUUUUUCAACAAACCUAACUGGUUUCCUUUAGAUGCAAAAGAACCCAUGGAAAUUUAUAAGCUACCAUUUGGCACACUAAUAUGAUGACGACGGUAAAAAUUCUAUUUUAACAUAUUAAAAUGCAAAAAAUAAGCAAUAAAAAGAAUCUAAUAGGUUAUCAUAAAAAAUGGUUUAAUAAAAAAAUGUGAUUUAGAAGUAAAAAGAAUGAAAUAUAAAAAUUUGUUUAGUUAUUAUUCCCUACUAUUUAGGGAUAUAAUCAAAGAAUACACAAAUUUUCAUUAAUAAAAUAUUCUUUACGAUUUCAUUUUGCAAUUUUUACUAGUUAAAGAUUACAAUAUUUUCCAUUGAAAAAGCUACUAACCAAUAUAAAAAAGAGAUAAACACUUAAGGACAUAAAGUGAGAAGAAAAAACAUAUAUUAAUAUUGUUCUUGCUCAAAAAUGGAGGUGGGCUUCGCAUCCUUUAAUAGGUCCUGACAAAAUUGCUUGGAUGGGAACCUCAUUAGGUUGUUUCUCUAUUAAAAGUGGUUAUCGUAAGAUUAAGGAAAUGUUGUGGAAUCUUAGGAAGGAUGCUUGGAAAUUGCCAUGGAAGGUUGAGGGUCCUCAAAGGGUUCGGAUUUUCCUCUAGUUGGCUUUCAAACAAAGGUUGCUCACUCAAGAAGAGUGGCUAAGGCGUGAUGUGAGUAGUGACACAAGUUGUUCAAUCUAUGGCCAUGAAAUAGAGGAUGUUCUUCAUGCUAUAAGGGACUGCGAUGCAGCAAAGAAGGUAUGGCACUGAAUCAUUCCACCUCAUAAACUAACCGCUUUCUUUUUAAGUAAUUUGCAAGAGUGGCUUGAGCCCAAUUUGGAAAAUCAUCUUAAUAUUGACCGGAGGAAUGUUGAUUGGCUAUGUUUUUUUGGCCUUGUUGCUUGGCAGAUUUGGAAGAACCAGAAUAUAUGCACUUUUCGAGGGGUGUCGUAGAGUAUAGAGAAGAUUGUCAAAGGCGCGUAUAGUUGGGCUAAAAAAUACAUUUCUACUCGCAAGAGAGGGAGUUCUAUUAGACAUAUAUCGAGGGGAAAAUGGUGGAAACAGAAAGGUGGAUUCGUAUAAGGUCUGAUGGAGCUGUUAAAAUCAACACAGGUUGUGUUUCUGUAGGUGGAGUUUUAAGAGACCAAAAUGGCGAAUGGAUCCUUGGGUUCAAUCGCAGAUUAGGGAUAUGUUCUACUUUUGAAGCUAAAUUAUGGGGUAUUCUCGAUGGUGCGACAUUGGUACAAAGAAGACUUCAUGAUAGAAUCUUGAUAUAGACCGAUAAUAUGGAAGUUAUUGGGGAUAUCAAGGAGUCCUUAUUGAAGGGAUCAAAUUCUGCUUUAAUCAGAUGCAUUAUGCAACUCCUACGAAAAGAAAAGAAUUGGUCCAUAGAAUAUGUUCCUAAAGAAGAUAACAUGGAAGCUGAUCAAAUUACCAAAUCAACUUUUGAUAGGGAAGAAAGCUUACAAUUAUAUGUAGUUUCUUCUCUAGUUUCUUUCUAAUUCUUUGUAAUGUUUUUUUUUCCUUACAAAAAAAAUGGAGGUGGGAUCAUCCAAGAAGCUAUAUGACUUUUUUAAUAGAAAAUGAUUUGUUGUUAUUUGAUGUUUUUACAAAUUAAUUUUACUUUUUCAUAACAUUAGCAUUAUUUACUCAUUCUUGAAAAAUAUCGAAAGUAAUUAUAUUUAUUCAUUAUUAAAUAUUUCUAAUUAAGUCUUAAAAUGUAUCAAGUUUUAUUUAAAUUACUCAUAUCAUAUACAUCAUACAUAUCAUAUACAAUAAAGUUUAGACAUAAAAAAGAUAUGUUUAUAGUUUCAUAUAUGCAUAUUUAAUUUGUUUAAUAUUUAGAUUUAUAUUUCACAACCUUUAUGCAUGUAAUACAUUUAAAGAGAAUGGAUUGUAUGAAAUAAGGAUAUUAUCCAUUUCCAAUGGUUUAAUGUUACUUCAGUAAUUUCAUCCUGAAUUUUAGGAUUUUUAUUUAGAUUUGAUUUUUUUCAGGAUGAAAAUAUUGAUGUAGCAUUAAACUAUUGAAAAAUGGAUAGAGAUGAUAUGGCACCACUAUUUCAUACAAUCCUUUUUUCAUAUUUAAAAUAUUACAGAUAUACUAUAUUCUAAAUAAUUUUACACAUAGAUUAAAUUUGUACAUUGGGCGGGAAAGAAAAUUAGUGACUCACUAAAAACCCAGUUGAUGGAUUAAUCAUCUGUGUCAAUAUAGAAACUUCAAAUUUCAAAAAGUAUAAGGACUUAGAAUAAUCCAAUUGGAAAAUAUAGAUUAAAUCUACAACUGUACAUAGAGUAUAGGAUUAAUAAUUGAAUUGAAUUAGACAAAUUUAACUGCUAUUGUUUUGGUUAGGAUAAAAAAAUUUGAAAUUUAAAAAUUACAUGGACUAAAAUUGAUCAAAUUAAAACAUGUAGAUUAAAUCCACAACUUUCGUAAAGUACAGAGACUAAUAACAAAAUUUAACAUAAUGAGAACUUGCAGACUCUCACUCAAUUGAGUUUUUUUUUCUUGAAAACUUAUUCUUUAAAUUUAAAUAAUUUUUGCAAAAUAUUUGUCAAAAAUGUUAAAAAAAUAAUACUCCAAAUUACAUAAUAGACUUCUUUUGGUAAAUGUAUCAUGGAGGCCCUUAUAUUAGAAGUUGGAUUGCAUUUUGGUUCUUAUAUUCAAAAAUAGACAAAUUAUUUCUUGUACGUUAGAUUAAAGAGAAAAUUGGUCUUAGUUCAUCCAUUUUUACUAUUAAAAAUUGGUCAAUGUUCAUUAUCAUGAGGCACACUAGCUUGCCACGUAUCAUUGUCUGGUUAUUCUGUCAGCCAUGCUAGUUUUUAAUAGUACAAAGGGAUAAAAUUUUUAAAAUAAAUGGCCAAUUUACUAUUUGAUCUAAUGUACAAGGACUAUUUUACCCUUUUUUAUUAUAGGGGCAAAAAUGUAAUAAAAAGGUUUUCAUGAAACUUUUACCAUUUUUAAAAAAUAUUUUCAAAAAUUAUUAAUCUUUCCAGUUUUUUAAUUUCUACAAAAUUUUAAAAUUUUGAAUAUAUAUUUUUAGAACUCAAUCAAUAGUUGACCAUGUGUCAUGCAUUAAAGAAAAUAUUUAACACUAACUUUUUUGUUUGUUGAAUUUCUAGUACAGGGAUUAAAUUACUAACUACAAGGAUCUUCUGGCUAUUUGUAAACCUUUGACUAUAGAAAUUUCUAAAAAAGAGCCAUGUUGGAACAAUAUGAAUCAUUAGAUCAAAACCAAUUGAUCUAAAUCGUUGAGGGAAAAAAAUACAACUUACAAUUUAAAAGAAUUUGUUUUAUCCGGAUACUACAUGAAAACAACAAUUCGUAAUAAAUUAAAAAAAACACUUAAAAAUUAAAAAUAUUUUAGAAUAUUUGUAAUACAUAAAAAAUUAUUUAAAAUAUGACAAAGUUAAAAGAUUUAAGUAAUACACUGCAAAAUUUAUUUAAAACCUAAAAGCAUUACUAUUAAAUAAUUAAAUAAUUCAUGAUACAUUAAAUCCAGGGCAAAUUUAGGGGAUUUAACUCCACUCCAUUUCAUUUAGAUACUAAUGGAUGAAAAAGUAACAGAAUGAAUUUAGGGGAUGGCAGGAGUCUCGUCCUCCUAAAUUUUAUGAAAUUUCAAUUCAGCUCUUUUAGUUUAAGUUUUGUUAAGAUUUGGGAACCGAUAGUCCAAAUGAAUGAUAGGAUGUAGACCUCCAACCCGAAUAAACCCAACCUGGAAGAAGAAUGUUCACCUACAGGCACAGCUAGCUGAGGACCUCGUGGGAAUGCAAGAUGAUCGAAGAGAUAACUCACGUGGGAGAGCUCGCGUAAGCCUCGCACAAGUAAGGUCACAAGAGGGAGCAUAUGUAAACCUUGCAGGGACGAGGUCACGAGCCAUGUCUACGAAGAGGACCCUCGUUCGUGACUAGCAGGUGCAAGGUUUGCUAGGAAAGUCAGUCCCAGGGUCAGAAAGGACUGCGUGCUCCACAGGCAAGCGUCCAAUAAACCAAAUGAGGCCCAGAGAAUGUCAACACCAAUGAUAGAGAAUGUCAGUGCCCUCGGCCCAAAGGCCAAGAAAAAAUAGUGGGCCCUAUUGUAAGCUGUAAUAGUAGCAGUAAGAAUGUGUAUAAAUACCCCUCGUAUUUCCCUUAAUACAACAUGAGAAAAUAUUACUCAACAAUUGGUGCGGUGAAUGUGGACUACUUUCGGCCAACAAAUACUAUCUAACUUGAUUUAGUUCUCUUGAACCUUAAGUAAAAAAAAAAAAGACUCACCCCGACGAGACCUCUUCUUUCAUCCCCUCCUUUUGUCAGACAGGAGCGUCGGGUCUCGAUCCCCGACGUGAUGAAAUGGACUUUUUUUCUAACUGGCCCAAAAACCUCGACAAUGUGAUCUAUCAGAGGCCUUUUCUUUCCUUAGACCUUAAUCUCUCAUAUGGUCAAGGAAUGCUCUCUUCCCUCAACCAAAAACCACCCCCGCCGCAGCUCUAGGCCCUGCAGGAGAAGAUGAAAUUCAUGAGGGAACAUAUGGCGGCGUAAUGGGCAUGGUUUGUAGAAUAGCAAGCCUUUCAAUAGGAGUUUCUAAGGCAAAAUGAGGAACUACACCGGAAGGUACGUGCUGAUAACUCGGGAUCCCAGGGAAAUACUAUUGCUUAAGAUGAACCCCUGAGCACUCAGGUAAAGGAAUGGAUGAAUGAGAUGGAUGAACUUCGUCACGACGUGCAGGACAUGGACUGGUUGUUCUGUUCUAACAACCCGCUAGCCCUCAAGAUCGCGACAGUAGGUCUGCCUCGCAACUUCAAAUUUCCUAAGGACAUGUUUGAAGGAAGAAGGGAUCUGCAAGCCCAUUUAGUGCAAUAUAACAAUUAUAUGAGCAUGUUGGGAGCAUUAGAUGCUGCCAAAUGCAAAGCCUUUUCUAUGAUGCUAAAAGAAAGCAACAAUUAUUAGUAUCUUUCUCUUCCACAUAAGUGGUAUGAUGGCACUCAGUACCUCAAAAAAACCACGACACUAGGAACAGUGGAGUGUGGAGUUUGAAAGUGGUAACGAUGAGCUAAUCCACGACGAGGAUGGGAAUGACCCAAUGAUGGUUUCGGCUAAGAUCGCAGGGGUCGAAGUUAAGAGAAUACUUGUUGAUAGCGGCAGCGCAGUAGAAGUCUUAUCUUGGGGAGCAUACAAGGAAAUGGGCUUGAAAGGGCAAUCCUUAUCUGCAGCCAGCCCUUUGUAUAGCUUCGUGAACCAUCCUGUCGAAGUAAGGGGCACUGUCACAUUGGCGGUCACUCUAGGUGAUGCCGAGCAUACAACCAUAGAAUGUGUCCAGUUCUAUGUGGUCAAUCACUCGAUUGCAUAUAACGCCAUCUUUGGUAGAUCAAUCAUGCGAAUGAUAAAUAUGGUGAUGACAACCUACUGUAUAAAGAUCAAGUUCUCGACAAGUACCGGCAUAGGCUUCUUGCGAUCCAACUAAUGCAUUGCGACGCAGUGCCCUAUGAUGUCUAUGAAGCAGGUGAAGCAACCUCUGACCGAGAAUCAGAGUUCGCUAAGUAAAGCCAUCAACUUAGAUGACCUAGAUGUGAGGGAAGAACAUCGAGAAACAAAACUCGAGGUAGUGGAGCACACAGAGACCUUACAGCUAUUUUGCGACAAUAAAGGAAGAACAGUUUGAAUUUUGUCAGCGCUAAGUAAAGAAGAAAAGAUUUUACUAGUGGGAAUUCGGACAUCUUCGCAACAUAUAUGCUAGGUGUGGACCCACGAGUAAUAGUGCACAGGUUAAAUGUACUCCUAAAGGUGAAGCUCGUGAAGCAGAAAAAGAGAAAGUUUGCACCACAUGUAAUCGAAGCAGUAAGGUUGGAGGUCGCCAAGUUGUUGGCAGCCAAAUUUAUCAUGAAAGUAGAGUAUCUGAAUUGGAUUUCGAAUGUGGUAAUGGUAGAAAAGGCGACAGGCAAGUGGAGGAUGUGUAUUGACUUCACCAACCUGAACAAGGCAUGCCCCAAAGACAAUUUCUCCUUGCCAUCAAUAGAUCGUCUAGUCGACGUCUCCGAUGAGCAAAGGUUUAUGAGCUUCAUAGAUGUCUUAUCAGGCUACAACCAAAUAUUGUUAGACUAAGGCGACCAGGAGAAGACAACUUUCAUCACUAAAGAAGGUCUUUUCUGUUACCUAGUUAUGCUAUUUGGACUAAAAAAUGCGAGUGUAACUUACCAAAGGUUGGUAAACAAGAUAUUCAAAUAGUAGAUAGACAAUAGCAGAUAGACUGCAAUCUAGAGGUAUACGUAGAUGAUAUGCUUGUAAACUUGUGAAUCCAUAUAUGAGCAUGUGCGAAACCUAUCUUACACGUUCUCGACGUUGAGGGCCCACAACAUGAAGCUUAACUCCGAAAAAUGUACCUUCAACUUGCGAGUUGGCAAGUUCUUUGGUUUUAUGAUAUCAGAUAGGGGAAUAGAGGCGAACCCAGAAAAUAUUCAAGCUAUCGCGGAGAUGCCCCUACCGCAAACUAUAAAAGAAAUCCAGCACCUCACGGGCAAAGAGGUGGCGUUAAACAGAUUUAUCUCUAGGAUGGUAGACAAGUGCCUACCAUUUUUUAGGGCUUUGAGGAAACCUUUCUCAUGGACCGAAGAAUCUCAAACCACCUUCGAACAACUUUAUGGGGAAGAGCUAUCAGGAAUCUUACGGGCAUUAUGAACCAUGCCCCACACUGCAACGGGUGAGACGACCUUCUCAUUCGUGUAUGGCGCAAAAGCUGUCAUCCCAGCGGGGAUAGGCCUAAGAUUGUACAAAACGCAACACUUCAAUGAAGAAGUUAAUCAAGAGGCCCUAAGACUCAAUCUGGACUUAAUCGACAAGAUCAGGGAAUGGCUGAGAUAAAAAAUACAGUUUGUGCCCAACAAGUAGCUCGCUACUAUAACUCCAAGGUUAGAGGAAAGCAGUUUCAAGUAGGCGACCUCGCGCUAAGAAACACCAAAGUCAGCUUUCCCGCUUUUCAGCGUGAGAAGAUGGCCCGGAGUUGGGAGGGACCAUACAAGGUGGUAAAAAAGAUAGGCUACGGAGCAUAUAAAUUGGCAAGAAUGGAAGGCGCUAUGAUACCACAAACCUAGAAUGCUUGACAUCUCAAAAAGUAUUAUGUAUGAAUACCCAUCAUAUAAAUAAAAUAUCUUCAUCACAAAAUUGUCAUCUGUAAAAUUAAGGUUCGCAUGCGAAAAGCCGUGACCUCCAGUACAAUUAGCGAGAGUAAAGCUCCCAGCUGAAAAAUUAAGGUUCGCAAGUGAAGAGCUGCGACCUCCAGCACAGUUAGCGAGAGCAAAACUCUCAGCUGUAAACUAUGGUUCUCAUAUAAAAAAAUUUCCAAAAAAAUUUUCAAGUUAAAAUAGCUCGCAACAACGCUCUUCAUUUUAAAAAAUACAAAGAGAACCAACUAGAUAUCAAAACUAUGUUUAUUUAUUCAAAAAAUAAUAAGUACAAUAUCAUUGCUUAGUUACAUCAUCACCCCUACCCUGAUCCUAAUCAGCAGGAACAACAUUCUCAACAGUUGGAGCAGCAGCCACAACAUCUCCAGUCACCGAGGGACAAACUGAAGUCAUAACAUCCUCAGCAACAGAUAGAGCCAGGUCCGCAGUACUAAAACCCUCUCCCUCCUCCACAAAAAGCUCAUUCUUCUAGGUGGCCGCGAAAGAAUCCCAAGUAGACCUAGAAGGGUUAAAGACAUCAAAGCUUAGGCUGUCGCAUCCAUGUCCGCAAGCGCAUCGAAAUCUACCUUGUGGACAUCAAAGGGGUCGUAGGCGACUUGGGUAUGUAGAAGCAAGUUCUCCUUGAUCCUUUGAAGGGAGCACAAGAUGUUCUGGGAAGUUUGUUGCUUGAAAGUUGCCAGCACCUCUUCUGCUUCCAAAAGGUAGUAUCCACCUACUCUUGACACUCCCUAAUGAUAUUUUCCACUUCAACGGAGUGCCUUGCAGUAACCUUCUUCAGCUCCGCCUAUGUGAUUAUGUGCCUCUCCUUUUCUGCGGUGAGUUUAGCACCACACUCAUCCGCUUUAGUCUCUAUCAUCGUCAGACGCUCGGUGAAGACCUUCUGUGCUCAUUUAUUAUUUCAUUCUCUUCUCUCACCUUGUUGUAUAGCUCGCGUACGCUGUCUAGCUCAGCCUAAGUGUAACAACCCUAACCCGUAUCCGUCACUAGAUUAGGGUUACGAGGCAUUACCAAACAGAUCAUAGCUCAUAACAGGCAUUCAUUACAAUUCAUGUUUCGUAAAUUAACCACAUCAAUACAUUUAUCCCAUUCAAAUUCCAGAGCUUAAAACUCCUAAAUUCAUCUCAUUUGCUUUUAUUUAUAAAACUUAUACCAUUCAAAUUAUACUACUAUGCAAUAUCACACAGCAUGUAGACCCAACAUACUCGGCCUAAACAACCUCAACAAGUGGACAAGUAUGAAAUUUUAAUCAUUAUAGUCUUACACUCAAUUUACCUAAUUAAUAUAAACCAAAUUAUAACACGUACUACAAAUCAUAGUAUACUUCAUUUACAAAUUCCAUAAUCAAGCCAUACCAUAUAUAUAAACAUUACAGUAAGGCCAAAUUUAUCACUUCACUCAUCAUGAGGUUAUGUGCAUAUAUCCACAAUAUUUUGAGCAAACUUCAAUCACUCAUAUUGAAACAUAUUAUACCCUCACAAACCUAUUCAAAGUAAACCAACCUUAAGUGAUUACAUUACUAGUUGAUACAUUUAUUUUCACUAUUGAAUAUCCGAAUUUUUGUACACAUUAUAUACUAACUCCCAAACUAUUUCCAAGAUAAUUAUACUUCAAAUUAUUACACCAAAUCAUACAUUUUUUAUUACAAUUUUAUGCGCAAGAGACCAUGCUAUUUCGAACCAUUUCGAAUAUAUAUAAUACUUUAAGUACACCUACAUAUAAACCAAAUUAUAACACGUACUACAAAUCAUAGUAUACUUCAUUUACAAAUUCCAUAAUCAAGCCAUACCAUAUAUAUAAACAUUACAGUAAGGCCAAAUUUAUCACUUCACUCAUCAUGAGGUUAUGUGCAUAUAUCCACAAUAUUUUGAGCAAACUUCAAUCACUCAUAUUGAAACAUAUCAUACCCUCACAAACCUAUUCAAAGUAAACCAACCUUAAGUGAUUACAUUACUAGUUGAUACAUUUAUUUUCACUAUUGAAUAUCCGAAUUUUCAUACACAUUAUAUACUAACUCCCAAACUAUUUCCAAGAUAAUUAUACUUCAAAUUAUUACACCAAAUCAUACAUUUUUUAUUACAAUUUUAUGCGCAAGAGACCAUGCUAUUUCGAAUAUAUAUAAUACUUUAAGUACACCUAAAUCACAUACUUAAAACUUUCGUACACAUAUCCAAUCCCUUAACCACAUAUUCGAUCAUCGCAAUUAACCUCUAAAAAUAAAUCAUGUCAAUUUCAUCAUGAAAUAUACCUAAAAAUUCAUUUAUCCAAACCUAUAUAAUAUAUGCAUGCUUAUCCAUUACAUAUCUAUCAUUACUACAUUACUAAACUAAAUUAUACAACUAUCCACCAUUCAAAAAUUAUUUUCACAUCUCAUACAUAUAUAUAUACCAAUAACCUACUUUCAUAAUAGGUUCAAACUUUGGCCAUAAUGCACAAGCUUAACAUUAUAACAAAUCUAUAUAAUCAAACACCACACAUAUAUAAAUACCAUGAAAUAUAUUUUCAUAAUAUACUAUUACCGUAACAGAACACAUAAGUAUUAAUAUCAAGAUUAAGCCAUUUUCGCAUGGCUAAAUAUAUAUACACACUUUAUGACUAAACAAGAUAAAUACUAGCCUAUACAUGCCGAGAUAGAGAUUGAUAGUGUGACGGGCUUCCUUGACGACUCCCAAACUCGUGACAAGAUUCCAAAAUUUAUAAAACAACGAAUGAACAAGCACACAAUAAGCUUAAAUAGCUUAAUAAGUUCUAAGCAUUUUCAAAGAACUAAUAAAAAUAACACCAGUAGGCUGAAUUUACUAUUCAUGUACACAUACAUAUAUAAUCAUUUUUAUACGAUUAAUUCAUCUUUUCAUGUUUUAUAUAUAUUAUCUACCUUUACUUUUAAUUUCGUAUAACUUAAACAUACCUGAAUUGUUUAACCCAAACUCACAUUCGAUUUUAUCAUAUGAUUUCCCCUUAUAGCUUCCGGAUUUAGAGAAAUGAUACUCGAUCGGCUCAAGAAGCUCGUACAAUGCCAACGUCCCAGACGUGGUCUUACAUGCAAUCAAACAAUGAUGCCACUGUCCCAGACAGGGUCUUACACGUAAUCAUAUACGACGCCAAUGUCCCAGAGAUGGUCUUACACGUAAAUCUCAAAUCGAGGACAAUGUCCUAGAUGUGGUCUUACACAAUGUCACAUUUUAGCAUUUCUGUAGUUCGUAUGACUUUCGGAUGUUGUAAAUCAAUCAAUUAAAAACUCGUAAUUAAUUAUCAUUUGUCAAAUACAAUUCGGCACCAUAGGAUACACAUACACAUUUAGAUUCAGCUAUACAUAAAAUAAUUACAGUAAAUUUAACUUCAAUAAUUUACUUAUGAAUUUACCUAGGACGAAGACAAGCGGAUGGAAUCGACUACUCGACCACUUUCGACUUCUCCCGUUCUAAUUCCGUUUUCUUUUAUUCUUGAUCUAAAUAAAUUCAAAUUUAGCUAUUUAAUAACACAUUUCAUUCAAAUUUAUUCCAACAAUAUAUAAAUGGGAAAAUUGUAAUUUAACCCCUAACAUUUCACAUUUUUUACAAUUUAGUCGCUAUUUCACAAAACACAAAAUAUUCAAAAUUUGACAACAUCAUAGCUUGGCCGAAUAUUCCUUUAGCUUAUAUAGGCCCACAUAUUUCAUUUGUUUUACAUUUUAGCCCCUCAAUUUUUCAUUUUCAUAAUUAAAUCCCUAAUUUGAAUUUUUAUAAAAAAAUAACUUAACAAAAUUUAAUAAUCUAUCAAAAAUAUUUAUUUUUCAUCAUUAAGCAACAAAAACACCAAGCUAUCAUCAAUGGCAACUCACAAAUUCAUCAACCAAUUCAAAAAUUAGUACACGGGCUAGCUAGAAUACGAAGCAACGAUCUCAAAAAUGCAAAAAUUAUCGAAAACUGAACAAGAAACAUACCAAAUUUUUUGCUCCAAAGUGCCGAAUACUUGAAAGCUCAAGAGCUUAUUUUCCUUUGUCAACUUUCGGCCAAAUAAAAAUGAACAUGCAUGGCCUCUUUUUUUUUAUGUUUUAUUUUAUUUAAUUUAAUGUUAUUAACCUUUUUACUAUUUUAACCUAAAUAAAACAAUAAUUUAAGUCAUUUAAAUCAUGGACAUAAAUUUCCACUAACUUUAUAAUGGCACAAUAACCUUUUAAGGACUUUCCAUAAAUCAAAUCAUAACGAAUUAGCAUAUUAACAAUGAGAAUGCCACUUUUACUUUUUAUGCAAUUUAGCCCUUUUCACAAAUUAAACACACAAACAGAUAAAUUAAAUCACAAAAAUUUCACACAUAUCAAUUCACAUACUAUAAGCACAUAAAAUAAUAUUAAAAUAUUUUUUUGACUCGAAUUUGUGAUCUUCAAACCACUGUCUAACUAGGGUGUAAAUCGGGAUGUUACACUAAAUAUCAACGAGCUCCUUAUCACGGGCCUCUGCAUACCUUAGGCCGAGAGUGCCAACCUCAGACAAUAGGCGGUGCAAAGAUGAGGGGAAGUCUUCCACAGCCUCAACAGACACCCUUUCAGCUACGGGAGCCACUAGAGAGUCCUCACGAGCAAGGGGAGUGUCCUCGGUGAUAUUAAUGGGCGAGCUCGCUUGGGCAACAGUUGGCAAGUUCGCCAGAGGGGAAGAACGGAUGGGGGUGACUGCAGCAGCAAGGCCUCCGCUAUCAACCCUCCUUUUCUAGCGGCACUCCAGUUAAGGACCAUCCCCUUCCUCCUCGCUAGAAGGGCUGACACGUGUGGUCCCAGUUGAAGUCCUGCGCCUCUUGCGACCACUACUUAUUAAAGCAUUGAUGUCAAUGUAUUUGUUAAGCUUGCCUGAGAUGCUGUCACUGUUAGUGUCGCUUGAGCUACCUUCAUUGCCCUAAUCGCCCUUUACAUCACCAAGAACCUUAAGAUUAGUAGAAAUAAGUGACAAGUGAGUACCUCCUUCAACCCUCUCCUCUUGCUCAAAUUCUGGGAGAGCAAAGGGACAAAGCACUUUCCCACAAUAAUGGUAGAACAAGUUAGCAAGUUUCCUUAAGCGCCUUAUCAAUAUCAUUCCCAACUGAUCGAAGGAAUCAUGGGGCCAAGUGUCCCUAGCUAGUCACCCACCAAUUGACCACGCGACCUCCUGAUUAUCACCAACCCUUCAACCGUUUGGGAUAAGAUCCUUCAGACAGAAUCUAAAGACAUUUCUAGCAAUUAGAACCUCCUCUAGGGCUAGCAUGCGACCAAUGCGCAAUCCCUAAUACUAAGCAACAGCCUCAUCAGUAGCAAGGCUCCUCUGAAAAGCGUGCAUAUCCUUGUUGGGGAAGGUCCAUCUAGUGGGGAACCUAAAGCCCUUGCCAAGUAAGCUGCGAACUUGGAUGUAUUUCCCUCGCUUCAGGCGAAGAUUCUUGCACUGGUUUUUUAUUAUUGUUUGCACCUUUCGACUGGGGGAAGGAAUAGUAGAACCUUACAGACUCCCCUACGUAGGUCCCUUUCAACUGAUACAAAUGCUAGAAGAUGGAGAGCAUAGGGACCUCACCUUGCUGGUAGCAGUCAAGGAAAUAAGCAUGGCGAACCACUAGGAAAAAUAGAAAGUUGGUCGGGAGCGAGCCUGUAGUCGUUGAGGAGACUACAAAAGAAGGGGUGCAGAGAAAGGUGGAAGCCCGCUUCCAGGACAUAUAAUGGAAGAAGCUGUCUUCUGUCAUCUCACACACGCGGUAUGACCCUGAGGGAAUGGAAAAGUCAUAAGCGAAGUGGGGAAGCUCGAUUCUCCGUACGGCCAGAACCCGUUUCAUCUCUUCGGAUGUUGUGGUGUAGGCGUAGGGUUUUUCAGUCACGAUGAUUGGAAUCAGACAAGCCGAGACAAUCUGGCUAUGAGCUCCUCUCAUUCUUACCAUAUUGCAAGCAAAAGAAAAAAGAAAAUAGAUAUUGGUGUUAAGAAAUAGAGAAAUUAGGGAGAUUUACCUCGAUUCUGAUUUGCAAAAAAAGCCAAACAAUGGGGAAACCUAAAACCCCGACCUUCGCCUUUUAAAGGGAGACUCUUGAAACCGUUCGGGUAACCAAAAAUGAACCAACAGCCCAUAUGCAAGCACAAAAAACUGAUUCAUGUCUUAACGGCUGGAUAUGCAUGUCCAAUACUAGGAUUUGCACGUGGCAAGGCAGUUGUUAAACACUAUGGCCUCACCACAUGCCAAGCAAGCUGCGUCUGAAAUGGACCUAAGGCCCACCACUUUAUAAUGUCCCUUAGGCCCACCAAGGGGGGAUUAGAUUGUUAGAAUUUGGGAACCGAUAGUCUAAUGACCGAUAGGAUCUGGACCUUCGACCCGAAUAAACCUGAUGCAAAAGAAGAAUGUUCACCUACAGGCACAACUAACUGAGGACCUCAUGGGAAUGCAAGAUAUUCACAGAGAUAACUCGCGUGGGAGAGCUUGCAUAAGCCUCGCACAAGUAAGAUCGUAAGAGGGAGCUCGCGUAAACCUCGCAGGGACGAGGUCACGAGCCAUGUCUGCGAAGAGAACCCCCAGUCGUGACUAGCAGGCGUGAGAUUCGCUGGGAGAGUCAGUUCUAGGGUCAAAAAGGACCGCGUGCUCCACAGGCAAGCGUCCAAUAAGUCAAAUGAGGCCUAGAGAAUGUCAGCACUAGGGUCAAGGAAUGUCAGUGCCCUCUGCCCAAAGGCCAAGACAAAACAGUGGGCCCUAUUGUGAGCUGUAAUUGUAGUAGUAGGAAUGUGUGUAAAUACCCCAUGUGUUUCCCUUAAUACAACAUGAGAAAAUAUUACUCAACAAGUUUUAAAAGUUUUUAUUUUAACCUUAUAAUUAAUACUUAAAAAUAGGAUAAAUUUGUACUUGACCCCUCAAAGUUUUCCAAAGUUUCUUUUAAUUUGAUUUCUUUUUUAGAAUUUAUAAAUUUUUAUGAUAAACUUAGUAAUAUUUUUAGUUUAAUUUGAUAAAAUAACUAGAAUAUUUAACUUAUUUUAUUUUUUUCUAAAAAAAAUGUUAAACUAGAAAUAAUGUUUAUACUGGCAGAGCUAAGAUUCAAUCAACGAUGAAAAUCAAUAUUUAAAACAUGAGAAAUGUUUCGAAAAAUUUAGUAAUUUAUAAUGCAUAAAAAUUACUCAAAACAUUGAAAUUUUAAAAAAAAUUGAGAAAUUCGUAAUAUAUGAUAAUUAUUAAAAACAUUAAAGUGUUAAUUACAAAAUAAUUAUUUUGAAAUUUUAAGUAAUUUAUAAUGUAUGAAAAAAUUGCUUAAAACAUGAAAAAUUCUAAUAAAUGAAAUAAUUUAACUUGUAACAUUUUUUUUUAUAAUCAUAGAUCUCCACAUAUGGUUUUAGAAUUCAAACUUAAGGGUGAGAGUUCAAUUAAAUCAAGUUGAAUUGAGUGAAAAAAUUUUGAUCUGAACAAGUCACACAUACACCCUAGUACAUGUUCCUCGGCGCUGAGGACAUCCCCCAAGAGCAAGGGGUUUCAUGACAUUUCUAAUUGGCUAUCUUGCAUUUCUAAUAAGUUGUUUAAUAGUUGGCAUACUGAAUCAUAUACAUAAUAGACUAGUUUAGAAAUUCCAUUUUUUGGGUUGAGAGAACCCUAUGAAUUGGGCGAAACUAAAAAGGACUCGAUAAUCAGUAAUAAGAUGAUUCACAAAUCAUCCCUUCAAAUUCAAUCUAUGGCGUGGACAAAUUAUUCAUUAACAAAAAAAAGAUGAGCCAAGGUUUCAGGCAAAAAGGAAAUAGGAUCUUUAUCUGAAUACCGUCUGUUAACCAGUUUUUUGGAAAUUCUGUUUUGGAUAAUUGAACACCAUUAUAAGUGCAUUUAACAUGCAUUUCUCGAUUCCAAUCUGUUAAAUCCUCAGACCACUAGGAAAUUGAAAUAAUAACAUACAGGCAAUGUUUUUAACUAUUAUCAGCGAAGGUAAUAUAAUAUCUGUUCAUGAUAAAACUUCAUAGGGUUUGAUGUGCUUUUAUCUUCAACGAAUGGCCCAGCAUUCAAUGCGGGUCGAAGCAUAUGGUUGCCUGGCUGGUUAAAUGCUAUUAAUGAAAAUAGUAAUUCACUAUUCUUAACAAUAGGUCCUGGAGACUUCUUGGUUCAUCUGCAUACAUCACUACACUUCUACUUGACACCUAUCGUAAUGAUAAACGGCUCGUCUCGCCAUGACCUUCUCUUGAAUUCUCAAAACUUCUGUCACUCGAUCUCCGCAGGGACAGAGAACCCAUUGCCGUCUCGGCUGUGCUACCGGAGGCUCUAGGGAAGUCGGAAUAGGAGUCUUAUUUUAUCAUCCUAACUCGACUUGAAUUUUUUCAAAUUGAAUGAAAUAAAAUUCAAGUCGAAUCAAAUCGAGUGAAAUUAUUCAAGUAAAAUUAAAAAAUUAAACAAAUCAAAUUAAAAUCUUAUUACAGUAUAAUUAAUUCUAUGUUAGAGCACCUAAAUUUGAAACCAUAUAUAUUUGAAAACUUUUUUAGAGAAAAAGAAUAAAAAUAAUAAUUUAGUAUGAUAAACUUGAAUCAUUUAAUUUAUUUAGGUCCCAAAAAUUAUUAUUUUAGAAAAUUUUUAAAAUUUUAACUUUCUUUAUAUAUUCUUGAGAAAAUUUUAAAAUUGUUAUAAUUUUUUUAAAAUAUAAAUUUUAGAAUUUUUAUAAAUAUUUUAAAUUUUAAAAAUCAUUUUGAAAAUUAGAAUUUUUUUUGUUUUUAAAUUUUGUUAGAAGAGAGAUCAGUUUACUCAUUUUCAAAAUUGGCAAAGAACAAAUACAUAUUUACACUAAUUUGUUAUUCGAAUUAUUCGAGAUAUUCAAAUUGUAAAAUUUAACUCGAUUUGCAAGUUACUUAUAGGAGUUAACUCAAAUAACCCAAUUCGAUAAAAUUCAAUAUUUAAUUUUUUUUCAAUUUUUUUAAAUAAAAUCAAAUUUUACUCACCCAUACUCAAACUCAAUAAGGAAAGGAAAUCCACUUAACUUUUUCCAACUCAGCUUUAAUAGACAAACAGAAAACGACAUCGUUUGUAUUUUCCCUGUGUAAUAAUAAUAAUUUUUUUUUUCUUCUUUCAAGAUUAGCCAAAUAAGCGUUCUUCAAUUUUCAACUGAAACCUUAGGACCAGAAAAAAAAAGGGAAAAAAAAUCUCAGAUUUUCUGUCAAGGUAACCCCAAAAUUUCUCUCCUUCACUUGAUUUUUGUAGUAUCUCCAUUAUAAUUCAUAUGGGUUAUUAAUUUUCUCUCAAAAGAUCAAAGCUUUGUCUUCUGUUUGUUCUUUGGAGAGAAUAAGAUUCUGUGAAGGAUCAAAUCAACAAAACAGAAAAAAAGAAAGACCUUUUCUUUUAAGAAGAAAGUCUUUGCGGUUUUAGUUCUUAACUUCUUAUAGUUUUGGUUGGUUAGUUGACUUUAGAUCUCACUUUCAUGUCUUUUAUUCUUGUAUUUGAAUUACUGAGAAUUUCUUUAAAAGCCCUAUUUGCUACUAAUAGUACUAUAAUAGAAUAUAAGAUAUUGAUGGGAUUUGAGGAAAGAUCUUUAAUAUGAACUCUUUUUCUUGGUAUUUAGCAACUACUUUUGAUUUUUAUGCUGUUUUUUUUUUAUGAUUAUUUGAAUUAUAACAGUUUGGGGUUGUAGUUUCCGGGCUGGCCAAGAAAAUUUCUAGCAGAAUCAAGUUUGAAUUUGCAUUAGAAUUUGUGGGACAAUUGAAUUGAUCAUUUCAUUUCUCUUGAGAGCUUAGCAUUAGCCAUUAAGUGUGAUGAAGUAUAGUUUAAUGGUGUAAUUGGCCUUGUUCCAUAGUAGUUUAUCUCUAUGUGAUCAGCUAGCCUGAUAAAGCGGUAGCGUUUUUUUUUCUUUUGUUUUUGGGAUCAAGACUAUACUCAUGAACUUUGGACUUCGCAUUUACUUAAACCUGUUUGGUAUUCAUGUCAUGUGCUCCAAAUUCCAAAUUAUUUCAGACUUCAUAAUUCACCAGUUAGAAGUGUGAUUGCUUUAUAAACUUACAAUCAAUUGUGUUCAUGGAUACUGGUUUUGGCAUUGUAGGAAAAUAUGGAAUCCAGUAGGGGCCAAGGUGGAAUCCAGCAGUUGCUUGCUGCAGAACAAGAAGCUCAGCACAUUGUCAAUACUGCCAGAAAUGGUAACUACUCUAUUUGUUGUGUUCAACAGAUUUAUAGAUUAAACCCUUUAAAGCCAUUUGUCUGGAUUUAUUCUUAUAGACUGAUAUCUAUGUUUGUCUAUGUGUAUGCCUGCAAGAAUUGGUGAGAAUAAGGAGAAAAGAAAAGUUAUCCUCUUCAUGAACUCGAUGUAGGAUUUGGCUUUGUCAUUUUCUCUCAUAUUUUUCCUGUGUUUGUGUGUGUGUAUGCUAGUGGUCAUUCGCAUUGUGUCCUGAUAUGCAUGGAAUUGCUUCUGCAUGCAUUAUUAUUUUUUGUGUUUUCAAAGUAGUCCUUGGGGUUUGUUUUGGUUCAUUAUUAUAACUUUGCAUUUUUAGCUCUAAAGUAAUUUGUCUCAUUUCUUAAUAUUUUUUGAAUUUGUACCUUUAGCCAAGAUGGCUAGGCUGAAACAAGCCAAGGAAGAGGCUGAAAAGGAGAUUGCUGAAUAUCGAGCUCAAGUGGAGAAGGAGUUUCAGAGGAAACUUGCCGAGGUAAAUACUUCUUGUUGUUUAACUAGACUAAGCAUCUGGCCCUUCUUCAUUUAGCUUGUAAAGUGUCUCGUUAUCUCUCAAGUUUGUUAAUGAGGGUUGCCUUGCAUAAUAGUAGCAUCAAUUCAUUCUCUUAAGCAUAUAUUUCUUAACUCUCUUUCUGAUGCCUGUCUCAUGUUCAUCAAACAGAGCAGCGGGGAUUCGGGUGCUAAUGUGAAACGCCUUGAGAAAGAGACUGAAGCAAAGAUUGACCACCUGAAAAAUGAGGCUGCAAGAAUAUCAGAUGAUGUUGUCCAAAUGCUUCUCAAGCAUGUAACAACUGUAAAGAAUUAGUCCCCUUGAGAUGGCAAACAUUCAAUAUAUGUUACUGUUGUUCCCCUGCAUGAUGUAAUAUUUGCGUUGUUGCCCUCACCUGGUUUAGACUCUGGUGAGUAAAUUAGACCCUUUUUAUCAGAUACAUCAGUUUGAGAACAUGUAGGACAAAUUGUGUGCCUAUCUAUUUAUGCUGGGGAAAAGAGCAAUAAAGUUUUAAUAAUGUCAAUAUUUUUGCAUUCUGAACCUAAACUUAAUGGCUAAAGAUCAGAUUCUCAUGCAUAUACAUGAUUUUGCAAUUAUAACAUAGUUUUGAAACCAAAUUCCUUUGAGACAAUUGGUUUGGAGCGGCUGGUGUAUGGUUAUGGGAAUCCAAGUCAUCCAAGUACUCCUAGACAAAUUAUUUUCAGAAGUGCAAAAGAACCCUUGCUUUAUGAUCUAAAAAGAGGAAAAAAGGAUCCCAAACACCAAACCAGGGAUUUAAAUUGCGGUCGCGGCCGUGUUUUCGGUCGCAUUGCGUUUAUCGCGGUUGCGGACAUAACGGAUGUUAUUGCGGUCAUUGCGAGUAUCGCAGUCGUGAAUUUUAAAACAACUUAUUGUAAAAUAUAAUAGCGGUUUCGGACAGUGCCACUACCGCUAUAUAACGGCCGCUAUUUCGGUAACGGACCGCUAUUUAAAUCCCUACACCAAACAAUGUGGGGUCACUGAGCUUUGUGUUACAUUCCUUGAGCUUCUUUCUUACUCUUUCCAUGUCAUUCAAAAACCCUGGCUACCUUCACCAAGUUUAGAGACAGAAAAAGUUGGAAAAGAAGUGGCCUUUUUCAGGUUGAAUUCUCUGCCUGGAGCUUGUGCUUAGCUAUAUGCCAAAUUUGACAACACAAAAACAGAGGAAAACAAAGAGGGAAAAGUAGUUUGGGAGCAUAGUCAACUUGAAGCCAACUUGACUGUGACUGACUACAGCUUGAUUCAAUUAGAUAUCUCCCUCUUUUUUAAUCUUCAUUUUACACACACACACACACUUCCUUUUCUUUUUCCUCUUAACAUUUCUCAAGUAUGCAAACUACAGUACUCUUAUUUUGACCUGGAAAAAAAAUACACAGUUUGCAGAUCAUUUUCAGGACAGUGAUGGAACUGUUUGAAUAGUACCCCAAAAGAAUCAUUGGUUGUUUCCCUAGGGGAACUAAAAAAAAAGUGAUUCCUACCCUUUUUAUCUUUCACUGUUGAGACCCCAUCAUCAUCCAAGAAGAAUAAUAAGCCCAGCAAGUCAAGAAUAGUAUGUGUAUAUGCCGAAAAUAGGUAAUUGAAAGCUAUAGUUUUUUCUUUUUCACAUCAAUGUUGGAUUCUGGAGUUACUUUCAAUAACAUACAACCGGGUAAUAUUCACCAUGUUCUAAGUCAAAGUUGACACCUGAUGAUUUCCAAUAACUGCAAACAUCGCAUUUCCUUGUAGAACACCUACUGAUGCCAUGUUCUUCACUAACAUACCCUCUGUUUCAUUCACCAUUGCAUGGAAUUCCAUUAGCUAUAGACCCAAGCCACUUCAAGGAGUACAAAUUUAGUGUAGGUGUUUGAUAUGAAAGUUUUUUUUUUCCAAUUUUUUAAAUAUAUUUUUAAAAAAUUAUAUCCUUUGUUGCUAAAAUAAAAUAUUUUUAAAAAUAAAAAAGAAUAGACUAAGUAACUUAUGAAGGUUUUGGGAAAGAACUAGCAAUUUUGGCUUACAAUGAGCGUGCCUAUAGGAUCUUGAUGGUAGAAAAUUAGCUAAAUUAGCCAUAUAUGUCUUUUUUUUUUUAAUUAGGCUUAUAAAUUGUUUUUUUUAAUUUAGGGAAAUAAGUCGUUUUGGAGAGAGAAAUGAAAAGUUCUCAGUGUUACGAUUUUAAAUAUUUUUAGAUUUAGGGUUUAAUAUUUUUAGGUUUAGGGCUUUUUAAAAGGGUUUUGAGUUUUCGACUGAAACCUCAAAAUUUCAUAGGUAGUUUUGAGGAGUUGGGGAUGUAAUAAUGUGUCUCAUAACACAUACAUUUCAUAUGUCGUGGCGGGAUAGGACCAUCACCUCAAAAAUCCAUUUUGGGGAAAUUUAGUUUCAGGGUGAUUAUGCUUGAUAAGAUCAGGGGUUGAAGCCUAAGCGGAGGUCCCAAUUGGUGGCUUUUGAGUAUAAUCGAAGGCCAGUCAACGGUCGUUACACGAUCACGAGUUCAAGCUUUUUUGAUACCUCGCAAACGAUGCAUUAUAUAUAUCAUACAUAAGAUUGAUGUCAUAAUCAUAGGGGAAAACGAAGGGAUUUUCUGUGUAAUCAAUGUAAUUUUUUUUAUCUAUUUUCAUGCAACUGGUAUCUUUAACCUUUCAUUCUUAUCCGAAGGCUGACACCGAGGUGGACACAAGAGAACUCUCAUGGGGAGAGCGGAUGUUUCGACGAAAGUAGAUGUCAAACUCGGGUCAGCGCGACAAUGGUUGUAGUUAUUAAUAGGUUGUUUAAUAAUGGAAAUCAUUGUCAGCCUGAAAGGAGCAUCACCUUUACUCCAUCGAAAUAGUCGCUUCCCACCUGAGAGUCCUCCUACGUCCAUGACGAUAUCGGUCUUCGGAUAAGAAUUAAGGUUAAAGGUACCGGCUGCCUGGAAAUGGAGAAAAAAAUUAUGCUAAUUAUAAUCGGAAGGCCCACAAUUUUCCCCUAUUAAUUAUGCCCUCAAACUUUUGUAUGUUAUUUAUAAGGCAACAUUUUCGGGUAUCCGAUAAGUUUGAGCUUGUCGCCACGUAACGACUGUCAACUAGCUCCCCAUUAUACCUCGAUUCAUUAUCGUAUAACGGUCGUCGAUUGAGACCUCCACGUAUACUUCACCUGUGACCAUACAAAGUAAAAUCACCCCGAAACCUGACUUUCCCAGGAUAGGCUUCAAAGAUAAUGGCCUCAUCUCGGCAUAAUAUAUGAAAUGUGUACAGCUCAGAAUGAUAUCGCAUCACUGACGAUUCAAUAAUACCUCAAACAUUAACAAAAAGAAUUUAGCGAUAAAUUUUUAACACCCAGAAGUGUUUUAUAGAAGAGGGAUAGAAAGGCUGUGGGAAAAGAUGUUUGAAGGACGAUGAAGCAUAGAGUGGAAGACCCCUUUUAUAAGCGUGGGAGAAGGGUUGGAUUGUAAUGUAAAAAUUUCCCGCGGUCGAAAACGCGUUGCAGGACUAGCAUCUUUUAGGAAAAUAUUCAAAACGUGCUUAAAAUCGGUUAAAAAAUAAGAUGGGCAAGUACUUUUAGGAAUAAUUUAUGCACGUUUUGAGGUGUCGAAUACUAUAAGAAACACUAUUUUGACAAAAUUAUAUAACUUUAGGAACACGUUUCUGAAUAACAAUUUACAUUUCAUUAUCAUUGUUUGCUGAAUGCGUGUAUUGAUAAACGGAUUUCAAAGUACGUAUUCCCUCUUUCGUUGGCUUAUUUUCCUAUCAAAGGGACGUAAUUUUCACAACUUAGACACGCAGUAAAUUAAUAUAAAAAUUAAAUUCUUGAGUUACAGGAGUCGUGUGUACUUCUUUUGACUCUACUUAUUUUUUGGUUUUUGUUAAUCCAAUUCGAAAUCAAUAUUGAAAUGAGUCGACGAGUGAAAUCUGUUAUUUACUACGACGGUUAAAUAUGUAGUACAGAGGUUGGAGUGGUAUUUGUAGGAGCAUAUUCAGUGGAAUUGGCAUUUAAUCGUACCAUUCAAUUGCAUAAGUUGCAAACUAAAAUCAGAAGAAAAGUCAGAGGAUCAAUCAGGAAAAGAAUUUUGAGGUUACAAUGUAGAUAUAUUGCUUCCGUUGACCCCUAUAGGUAUGACUUAUUUGAUGUGAAUGGCGAGCUCCAGCUCGAAAUGGUCAUAUCAUCGUACGUCUUAAGCAAAAAUACUGUAAUGGAGUUAUAUGUCGAGUUUGUCGAGGUUGAUGGAUCUGGCCCAUCUUCAGUUACUAUUUCAGCUAAUGUUGGAAUUAAAGUUGAAGUAGAAAGUCCUGCCACACGGUUGUGUGGUGGGUUCACUGGUUUGUUACAAAGCUCCUACUGCAAUGUCCUCGAAACAUCUAUGGGUAGACACUCGUUGGUCUCUGGCACAAAUCUAAACUUUGUUGGCCAAUACUAGUCGAGGUAUGAGCGUAACCCGAAUCUCGACAUUCAAUCAGUGCGUUCAAUUUCGACUUCAGUGCGGGCUCAAUGUUAAAAGUACUUAUACCUGGGAUUCAUCGACGUACACUGGACACCAAGCUGGAACAGAUUUUUGCGGGCAUAUAGAUUAUUGAAGAUUUGCUCUUUUUAACAAGGAUUGACGAGGGUACACUAAACCCCUUACUUGAAGGGGAUAGUGAAGGCGUAAAUGAGGAAGAAGAUACAAGUGAUGAACAAGAGACAACAGAUGCAGUUGACGGGGAGGAAUCAGACCUUGAGCUAAUCAGGCAAUAUAGUUUAGAUAGUUCAGAUGUGAGACUAUUUUUCAAAUCGGAGACGGUUCUAACAGAGCCAGAACCUUACGGGUCUAACGAUGACGACUUGGACAAUACUCUAAAUUUAAAUCCACGAUAUAGAGCAUAUGAACCUUUGCCCCAUAUAACCAACAUCGAUCUAUCGGCCAAGGGUGGUUUAGAGUUUUCACGUCUACCGCACAGAACACCUAGCCAUGCAAACAUACCGCAUGAUGUACGAGUACUAGAAGUUAGAAUGAAAUACCCAAACAAAGAUACUUUUCUUUCUGUACUGAAGCGGUAUAACUUUAAGAAUGGUAUAAACUACUACAUCAUGAAGUCUAGUUUUAAGAAAUUGAAAGGAAAGUACACAAUUUGUGACGGGAGAUACAAGUGGAAAAUCAUGGCAUCUUCAUGGAAGAAGAUCGGGUUAUGGACGAUAAAGAAGUAUUUCGGUCCACAUACCUGUAUUGUGGUGGGUGAAGUCAGAAUCAUCCUAGACUAGAUUCGGAUAUUAUUUCUGACGUUACACUACUGAUGGUGAAUGCGAGUUCAAAGAUUCUCGUCUUGGUGUUGAUUGCGAACAUAUAUAGUCAAUACAACUAGACUCCAUUGUACUACAAAGCGUGGGUUGGAAAUAGAAGGUUGUUAAUAAGUUGCAGCACGGUUGGGAUAGUUCGUACAACUAUCUAUGGUAAUGGUGUCAAGUGUUGAAUCGAUACGUUCUAGGUUCCAUAACCAAUCUAGAAACGCACCUAGCGUACUUUGACGAUCGAUUAGUCUUUAGGAAAAGAGUAUUUCAUCGAUUCUUUUAAACCUUUGAACAAUGUAGAAAAACUUUCUAGCAUUACAAGCCAUUGGUACAAAUUGACAACAUCUGGAUGUACGAAAAGUAUCAGCAUCGAUUGUUGAUUGUGCUGCUUAGGACGGGUAAUUGAAGGAGUCUACUGAUUGCGUUUGCAAUAACUCUUGGAGAAAUGACCAAUGACAGGGAUUUCUUCUUGAGUCGAUUGUGUCACUACGUUUACCCGUAGCCCGACAAAUAUGUCAUAUCUGACAGGAGAACCAGAAUUCUGUCCGCGAUUGAGCAACAUGCUAGCCUUUGGGAUCGCACCCAUCAUAGGUACUUCUUACGACAUACCAAAUCCAAUUACCACACAAAAUGGCUUUCAAAAUGUGAGCAAGAUACAGUCACCAACAUAGGUAUGUAAUUGGAACUACGAGUACAGCUAUAUUACACCCUAUUUCGUUCGUUGUUUGCAUUCAUGAGUAUGAUUCUCUCGAAAGGUUACGAGCUUGUCUAACAUCAUUUUCAUGAAAUGUUGAACAACUUGGGCGCUAUCAAAAACUACGGUACGACAUACCUCACUAACAUACCCUUCGAAUAGUGGACACAAUCCUAUGAUGGGGAUUUAUAGUAUGGGCACAUGACGUCAAACUUAGUCGAGUGUAUUAAUUUCGUUCUAAAGAGGAUACACCAUUUUUCAAUAACCUCGAUUGUGAAAGAAACAUACUUUCGCUUGGCUGUGUUGUUUCCAAAGAGGAUGUAAUGAAAGAAAUCAGACAAAAUACAGUGAAAGUGAACACUAUGUAUGUAGUAUGCCACUCGUGUUGAAACUUGAAAUUUUGAGUCACGGAACAUGUUAAGCCGAAUCAGGACAUGAAAGGGGAAUUAUAUUGUAUCAACCUAACAGGAGGGACUUGCAACUAUGGGAGGUUCUAAACACUUCGGUUCCCAUGUGUAGAUGUAAUUGUUGCAUAUGGGAACCUAAGAAUUGAGUACACGCCCUACAUCAACGAUGUGUAUAGUCUAGAAUGCAAGCAAAGAGUAUGAAGUCCUGAAUUCCCAUCUGUUCUCAAUGAGAGUACAUGGCUACCAGUUUUUAACGCGUUGUACGAGUUGGCACUGAACAUGAACCUGCAUCACAUUCCGAAAGGUUGCCCAAAUACCACCCCGAUAUGGAACAGUAUGGAUAUACGGGAGAGGGACGAUCAAUAAAGGUUAUGUAGGUACUAUAGAAACUCGGGGCAUACAAAGGCAACAUAUUCUAUGCUGAGGGGUACUUUGGAGCCUCAAUGUUGAUAGUAUUAUUUUCUUUCAGAGAAUAUAUUCAUUAUAAUGCUUCCAUAAUUCUAGUGUUCCAAUUUUGUUAUUUCUUAUUAACUUGCACAUAACUCACUUUAAAAUGUAAUGAAGACAAAAAUAAUGUUGGAAUGAAAAUUUAUGGUUUCUUUAUUUAUGUCAUAAAUAUUUACAUUGCAGUUGUAAUAAAAAAAUACAUCAAUUGUGUCGUCAAAAAAAUGUGUGUUGUAGGGUGGUGGACGACAGACACGAAGAGGAUUUUUGUACACAACUGGAUAUGCGAACCUAUAAACUUGAUUGUUGCCAUCAUCCUCAUCAUCAUCACCUUCACCCCCACCCUCUUGCUCAUUUCCGUCUCCAUCGUCGUCAACGUGUUCGUCUUAGUUUUUGUCUUUGUCUUCGUGUUCGUUUUCGCUUUCCUCUGUGCUCAAGUGCGGUGUCGUCUUACCCUUUUAUCGUGUAUCCACUCCACUAACAGACGGUUGCAUCGAUGACCCACCUCGAUAAAAUAAUGAUGCGAGCGAUGUUUGUGCCACUAUCGACCUGUAACCGUAAGGUGCCAUAAAACCUGAAUAUGUCGACAUUGGCCCGGGCAUCGACAUUGGCAUCGAUUGUUGAAUUGACGUUUGUAUUGGUGUUGUCAUUGAUGACAGUGCAUGUGUCGACAUCUGGCCUGACAUUUGAGUCGGCAUCGACGUCGGUAUUGGGGUGUAGAAUACGGGGACGUUAGUGGCUCGAAAUAUCUACUUGCAGGAAUAGAAGAAUCGGACACAUGCGGUGGUGGUGCGCAGUGUAAUGCUUGUAAAAAAACGCGGGGUUAGUGAAAUGAACAUGAAUAAGUGGAUUGAACUGGUUGAGAUAUUGUGUAAACAUAGGCGACGUUUCUUCGGGCAGAGCCAAUAACGAACCCGUCAUACCACCGCGUCAAGCCUUACGCUGCUGCUAGGGUGAUCAUCGUUGCCACUUCUAACGAAGUUGUCUACUACUUGCAUCCACCGAUAGUAGAUACGACUUGCUGGCGACUCUGAACCAUAGCAAGUACUCUAAACAGGUCGCCAUGUCCGCUGAGAAAAAUAGUUUGCGGAUGGGUAAAAAUUUUAUCCUACGAUCCUAAGCCUCGAUGUAGUCAUUGUGAACCUCUUGCCAAUCCUCGUUGUUCUUCCCCCACUUGUCCACAUUGUGCAGCUCUUUCAAGUCUCGCGGUGGUGGCAGAAUUUGUUAUCUCCACCCUAACUGCCAAAUCACCCGGUCCGAUUCAUGCAUUUCCACUAUCUCGUACACUAUAAACGACACAUUCGUGUCCCACAUCUCUCGGUUGGCCAACACUUUCGAUAGAAUGUAAGAUAUGAUAUCGAUGUCAGCGUAUGCCAUCCAUUCAAAUUGAAAUGCACAAUUGUAAAUUUUGUACAUUACGAAAUUUUAUUUUACAAAUCAUUGCGUAAUUAAUAUAUGUUUGAUAGAAUAAGUAACUAACAUCGACUUCUGAGCAUUAAUCUAACAGUAGCCUAAUAAUUUUCAACUCUUCGAGUAGUCCCACGUAACUCAGCCCAUAGUUUCACCAAUAAAAGCUAUAUGUUAGUUUAGACAUAUAAUAAAUAAAAACUUUUAUUGUACAAACUACGUAUUUAUUAAUAAAUUAUUUUUACCUUGUCACCAUCGGAAACAUAUAUGGGUUGUUCACUCGGGGAUGUAGAAAUGGUAGUCGCCACCAUGCCCACGACUGCAGCAAAAGUAGACAACUACCGAUUGAUAUCAUAUCCGGUUCGGUGGCCCGACACAACUCCCAAUAUAAUGUAAUCAUCACGACUAAUCCCUAAUUAAGUUGUCCACAUUCUUUGAAGUCUACUAAGUGUAGUAGCCACCUUACGUGCACCAAAUUUUGAGAUUUCUCGGGCAUUAAAAUGCCCCCGAUUAAUUGAAGGAUGAAUUCCUGGGUGUAUUAUUUUUUGACAACCUCAAUCGCGUGUGGAAGAAACUUUUCGAAAUUUUUCGCCAACCAAUUCAUCAAUAUCUAGUAACCAUCAAAUUUGUUUGAGACCUUCCUUAAUAAUGUUGCGCAUAGAUCCUCUUUAUCAAGAAUUAUUGCUUCUCUCGUGACGAUUGGCCCAUCCACCAACAAAUCGAGUUGUAAUGCCAUGUCCUCCAGUGUGAUUGUACACUUGUCGCAUGGAAGAUGGAAAGUUUGUUUCUCAAGUCUUCACCUUUUCACCAACAAGUUGAUGAGUCUAGGAUUGAGUUUGCAACCCCCGAGCAUACGAGACGUAUACAAGAAUCUCGCCUCUUGCAAGUAACCACGAAUUUUGGUGAUCGAAGGCUUUGCCAAAUUAUGUAUGAAUGCUUCCAAAACACGAUCAUCUGCCUAUUUAUAACUACAGAAAAAAAUAUUUUAAUUUUUAAAAAAUAACUUAAAAUUAAUUUAAUCGAAAAUAACGAAAAUUAAAUUUUCGUCUUACCAUUACUGCUUGAGCGGUGAAAAUGUGAUUGUCGUCGAAACGAAUUAGAGAGAUUGUCAUUUGUGAAAACAUAAUCCGAACGAAUUAAAUACAGAAUAAUUAAAAAACUAAUAUUUUUAAACGGGAAUAUUGAAAAAUUUAGAACAAUGACUUGAGAAAAUUGAGAGAGUUGAGAGAGUUAGAAAAAAUUGAGAGAAUAGGAUGUGAGUGAAAAAAAAAUUAGGAGUAUUUAUAGGUAAAAAAAAUGAUUGUUGCCCCCUUUUAAUAAAGCUAUUAGAUUUGACUGUUGAGGGAAAGGCGUCUAGCUGGGCGCACUUUCCAUUUCUCUCUCCAAACAUGAUUUAUUUACCUAAAUUAAAAAAAAAACUUUUAAGCCUAAUUUAAAAAAAAAACUGACAGAUAUGGUUAAUUUAGUCGCAAAAAAUUUAAAUUAUUUUUAUUUUAAAAAAAGAACCGUGAUUGGCCAAAUUCUGGUGACCAAAGCAAUCAGCAGCAGCAUCUCAAUUUCUCAUAUGACAGAAUUUGAAUAAAUAAAUCUUAAAAAAAAUAGUUUUGCAUAAAUAAUGGAUUAUUUUAAAGUUUCCUUCAUUUAUUUCCCCCAUUAUAAUCAUUAUCAAAGGACAUAUGGUUGGCCAUUAUACACACAAACUUCAAUUAUUAAUUUGAUUUUGAUAUUAUUAUAUGAAUGACUUCACAAAGAUUGUCAUUUCUCAAAAAUAAUCAUAAAAUUCAGGAAAAUCCUGAUUCUUGGCAACUACUAGAUAUAAAAUUUUGAUUGCCUUUGCAAAUUGCAUUGUCCAAUUGGUGGAACAAGCCAUGUUAUGAUAUAAGCAGAAAAUGGUGGUGGUGGAGAAUACCUGUAAAGCAUUAAAAAAAAAACUAAUUCAUUUUUUUUCAACCUAAAUUGACUGCCUUGGACUCUGAAUUUACCCAAAAACAUAUACUUGUAAAUUUAAAUUACAUCAAUUCUGUUCUUUUCUUUUUUUUUUAAAAAAGAUUCAAGCUUUCAUUGCCUUGUUGACAAACAUCAAUCUUUAAUAUAAAACUAAAUUGUAAUUAAUUAAAAAAAAUCAGACUUUAAUCAAUUCCCGGCCAGAGUUUGGGUAUUUUUGUCAUCAAACAACAAAAAACAAAAGAAAAAAAGAGAGAGAAAGAGAGAAGCUGUUCACUUUAGCACAAUUUCUGUCUCUUCAUCAAUGGUGGUUUUGGUGGAGCUUUACGCAAACCCAAUACUCACCCAACCAAAUAUUCUCUCUUUUAUUUUUAUUUUUCAUUUGAUAGAGAAAUGAAAGGAAAGACCAAGUAAAUUUUUUUUCUCUUCUAAACUCCUUUCGAUUCCAAAUAAGUUUUUUUUUUCUUUUCAUUUUCUUGGGUUCUGGAGGGAAAAAUGGAAAACCCAGAAAUUUUUACUUGAAACUGGAUCGAACUUGGUUGUAAAGUCUUUCCUUUAUAAAUAUUUGCAAAAUUUCCGGUUUAUUUUCCUUUUGUACUCCAAUAACCGGGAAAAAUUCAUGGGGAACAUCGGAAGUAGCGGAGUAAGUGGCCGGAGAAGGCACGGAAGCAGGCGAAAUCAUCCUCCGCCACCACAUCCACCUCCUCCAGCUCAGCCCCAACCUGAAAUCUCGGCCAACCGUUACGUCUUUGCCGCCGCAACGCCUUACCCGCCACAAUACCCGAAUACCAACGCACCCCAGUACUACCAGUACCCAGGGUACUACCCCCACCAGCCGCCUGUGCCGUUGCCGCUUCCGGCGCCUUACGAUCAUCAUCACCAUCAUCGAGGUGGACCCCACAUAGAGCCCGCCAGUUGGAGUAGAUAUGCUUGUGGACCGAUGAUUACUCCACCGCCGCCGUAUAUAGAGCAUCAAAAGGCGGUUACUAUAAAAAAUGACGUAAAUUUGAAGAAGGAAACUUUGAAAUUCGAAGCUGAUGAGCUGAAUCCUGGGAAGUUCUUGGUUUCUUUCACGUUUGAUGCUACUGUUGCUGGAAGGUAUAGAACUUCAAUCUCUUUGUUUAAAAAUUUUCAAUUUUUUGAAAUCUGUGAGAAUCCAAUGGUUGUAGCUUAGAAUAUGAGUUGCUUUUGAUUAAAAUUUUGCUCCUCGGAUAUAAUUUAUAUGAUGAUUAUUGUUACACUUGUUUUGAAAGCUUGAGAUAUAAAUUCUGUCAAAUUAUAUGAUUGGUGUAUUAUACUUGGGGAGAUGCAUGUUUAGAGGGAUAAAAGUUUAGCAAAUGAUUAGGAAUCCAAUGAAAGCUUAUUGGUUUUUUUUGGGGGGUUUAUUUAAGUAUCGAUUUGUAUAUUUGAAGGUUUUAUGGUUACCUUGCUUGAAUGGGGUUUGAAUGCAAUCAUUAGAGGUGUGUUUUGAGGUCCCGGAUUUUAUGUUUCUACUUGAUAGAGAAAAUGGCAAUAGGUUUACCGCGACAAAGGCUAGAAUGAUGGUGAUUUUUGUUAUCCUUUUAAAUUUACACAUCAUAGAUAUAAUGACUUCUGAGCUAGGGUAAAAUGAUCGGAAAAGAGAGUUCUGCGCUUUAGUUUGUAAGUAUAGGUAAAGAAAAGACUGAAUGAUUUGUUGAAGUCAAAUACAACUUACGAUGCAUGCAUGUUGGUGGCUGAGUAUCUUGUAAAAAUGUUCUAAGGUAUUUGAUAUUAAUAUCAUCAAUUUCCUGUGUGCAUUCGUUUCUAUCAAUAGUACGGGCAUUGCUGUUCUUUGAUUCAUUUAUCUAACAAUAUAUUAUUUGCUGUGUUUCUUCAUUUCUCUGGCAUCUUGAGAAAGUAAUACUUAUUUAAUGGAGCAUGUACAUCUAACCCUUAAACACAAGCCUUCUCUUUUUCUUCUUAGAAUCAAUUUUCUGUGUUGAGGUUAUGUUGCAUCUUAUAUGAAGUUCAGAUUUGCGAGUUUUUAUGUGAAUCUGAUAUUAUUUCUUAACAAGAUGAUUUGGUUUGUGCUGCAAACAGGAUUACUGUUAUUUUCUUUGCAAAAGAAGGUGAAGACUGCAAUCUGACGGCAAUGAAGGAAAGUAUUCUACCCCCAGUAAUUGUGCCUUUCGAACAAGGUCUAGGACAGAAGUUUAGACUGCCGUCUGGAACAGGGAUCGAUUUCUCUAUGUUUGAGGAGUCGGAAUUACUGAAAGUAGAUGAAGUGGAUAUCUAUCAUCUGGCUGUGAAAGCAGAGGCAUUGCCUCUUAACCAAAAUGUGUCAGAUGGAAACCAGGAGUCAGGAGCCAUGAAUUCUCAGAUAACUCAGGCGGUGUUUGAGAAGGAGAAGGGUGAAUACCAGACCAGAGUAGUGAAACAGAUUCUGUGGGUGAAUGGGAAGAGGUAUGAGCUGCAAGAAAUAUAUGGGAUCGGAAAUUCAGUUGACAAUGAUGUUGAUCCAAAUGAUAGUGGAAAAGAAUGCGUUAUUUGCCUUUCAGAACCUCGGGACACUACUGUUCUUCCCUGCAGGCACAUGGUAAAAGCAGCCACUUGUUCUUUUCUCUUCAUAAGUUAAUUUCAUUUAUUUUCCAUUGUUUGGUCUUUUGCAAUAUUGAUCUAGUAGACCAGAAAGCAAAGGGAAAUACUGCAGUAAUAACUUAAUAGGUUGCAGAGAUUUGAAUAAAUAUUUAGCUGAAAGUAUCACCUUUGGAUACGGUAGUGAAAAUGCUUUUAAGUAACAGAGAAUCUUUCCUCUCACUUAAGUGGUCGACAUAAGAUUUUACUGGUUGCUGAUGUAAAUAUCUUUUGGUUCAUAAUGCAGUGCAUGUGCAGCUCUUGUGCAAAGGUUUUGAGAUGCCAGACGAAUCGGUGCCCAAUCUGUAGGCAACCGGUUGAGAGGCUUUUGGAGAUAAAGGUCAACAAUGGCCCUGAUGAAUGAGAUGAGAACAUGUUUGUUGAACUAUCUUCCUUUAUAGUAUUUUGUUGUUAUCAUUAUGUCAUGCCUUUCUAAUAAUCAAA
rnacentral:lncRNA from 1 species